CACAUCAAGCCAGCAAUCUGAAAUAUAAACCAUCAUAGACAUAAACCUUAGAGCUAAAACUGUUCUCAUACUUAAACCUCUAAUCACCCUUAUCUCAAUAUCAUGGUAUCUCCACGUGUCUUCAUCAUCCUCGUAAUUACCUGAGACGAUAAUGUUGGUGGCUCUCAGUUCAUCUCCUGUGUAAGCCCACCGAGCACAGUUCAUGACGGUAAAAGAACACGUCGCCGAUCUCAACACAAGGGAUUGAACCCACUAAGUAUUUACCCUGGGUUUGAGAUCAGCGACGUGUUCUUUUAUCGUCAUGAACUGUGCUCUCAGACUGGGCUUACACAGCCAGCUACAACGUAGUUCCAAAGGUGAACCGAUACCCCCCCCCCCAUCAUUGUCGUCUCAGGUAAUUUGAGGAUGAUGAAGACGUACGUGGCUUGUUACAUUAGUCCCAGAAAAGAACCAAAUGUGAUGGCACAUUUGGAGCUACGGAAACUACUCAGUUACAGAUGGUGAGCUUCACGUUCAGUUCAUCGGCGACCCAUAGUCCAGGCUUAGCUCCGAUAACAAGGGAACAUCAAAAGAAAAAAAAAACUUGAUGUUCAUUAUCGGACUAAGCCUGGAUUAUGGGUCAGUAGAUGAACUGAACGGGAAGCUUGCCAUCUAUAACUGAGUAGUUUCCUUGUUUCUAUAUUUUUCUUUAUGUCUUUACCGAUAUGGCUCUCCUAUAUGCUUUAUCUUGAGGUAAUUUCUCAAAUAAAUGUUCUUUCUACAUCUCUUUAUCAUAGGAGUCUCAUUGUCUGUACCAAUUGCAUGCUCACAUGCUAAAGUCUUUACUAUAUUUGAGUAUUUACGAAGUUUGUUUGAUUGCUAAAUUAAACCAAUCACAUUCAGGGAAGAAUUAAGGUUGAUUCCAUUUUCUAAACCAGACCCAUUUAUUGUGAUAGAUAAAUACAUAUUUGGUAAGUUACAAACAAAAGAAAUGAAAAUUGCCCAAAGAAAAAAAGGAAAAAGAAAUGAAAUAUCUAUCACACAAAAACUCAAGCGAAAUUUGAUCGUGUGUGAUCGAACUAACAUCUUUUUAUUUUAUCUAUCACGAUAUCUUUUUUGUUCGUCAUUCAUUUUAAUUUCUAGGCUGAGCUCAAAAUUUCUCGAAAAAAUUGUUGUAACAUUAUGGAGGCAGAAGCAACAACUCUUCUUUGGAUCAUGACAUGCUUGGAUGAUCUUGGCUAUGAAGAGGUAAUUUUCGAGAGUGAUUCAAAGAUAUUGGUGAAAGCGGUAGCUGAACCUCGAGAAUGGUCAAGAUUUAUAGUCUAUACCAGAGAAAUCAACAAUACAAGAAAUAUAUUAUUUCGACCAACCAUCACUUUCCAAGCAAGAGAAAAGCCAACCAAUGUGUUGAUCUUACAGCCAAUAAAACCUCUUCAUAUGAAGUACUCUUUUGUUGAGAAGGAGAAACGAAUUUAUAUGAAAUAUGUUUGAGCUCGAAAAAACAAGAAAUAUAUGGCUUUAUGUUAAAAUGAUGAUAACUCUCCUAAAUUAACAACAACAAACCAAAAAAAAUGGGUGAUAAUCCUCGAUUACUAGUUUCGAUUCUAUACUAUUACAUUUCGGUUAUAUUCUCAUUUUCAAUCAACUUUCCAUUAUAUUAUAACAUGUUGACGUCAUAAAGAAAUUAUAACAUGAUAUAUAGUGAAAUACAAACGAUAGAGCUAUUAAAGUGGCAUAAUAAGAUGAUGCAAGAUCUGAUCCGAUACUACAGCAAAUAGAUAUUUGUCACUGGCUGGUCAUACUUUUUACCAUAAUAAUAAAAAGACUGUGCAUACAUUGUGCUUGGGUAUGCCUAGAUAUUCUAAGCAAAUCGGUCAUAAAUACAAAUACGUUCUGAAAAGGUACCUAAGAGAUAUUUAGCAACCUCCUCCACCACCACAACCUCUUCCUCCACCACACCCGCCUCUACCGCCAGACGCUUAUGGUCCAGCAUAUGGUCUAGCUCCAGUAUAUAUUGAUCCAUCUUUCGUCUCAUUUUUUUUAGAUUCUUUUUCACCGGUGCAAACAAAUACGGCCAUGGCUAUUACGGAUAAGGUGGCUGCAACCGCCAAUAUCCCCCAAACUAAACCAAAGCCACUGGUUCUAACGUCGCUCAAUAUGCUUCUCACCAUAUUCUCUUGUGUAUAUUUUGGUUAAGUUUGAGAUUUUGGAUUCGGUUUUGGGUAGGGAUUUAUAUAUGCUUUUUAGAUGUGAGAAAUAAAAAGCAUUAUUUGUAGAUAAUUUUUUGAAUGGACAAUGUUGGCUUACCGCUUACGUCACGUGUGUCGGUGUGUGGUUACGUAAGAGUAAUAUGUAAAAAUCUACAAGUUUCUCUGAUGUCAUAUAAGAAAAUUUCUUGGUUUAUAUGAGGUGGCUACUUUUCAACAUGCUUUAACAUUUGGUUCAAUAUAAGUGAUGCUCUUAUGAUAAGGUCUCUCUGGCUACUUUUCAACGUGCUUUAACAUUUGGUUCAAUAUUGAGGGAUGCUUAAAAGUCUUAUGAUAAGGUCCCUGAACUUUAGUACGUGGAUGGUCGUAAUCCAUACCUUGGAAUAUUUUGCUUACUAAUUCAUUAUUUGUCUUUUGAAAAUUUGAAACAAAUUUAUAUUAGAUUCUGAAAUUACUUGAUAUUUUUAUGUAAGACCUUUGUGGAACCAAUCCAUUUAUUUUGGGAGGUUGAUACAAUUGUUGUAGGAAGUAAAUUUAGAGGAGACAAAUAUUGCAAUGUAAGAAACCGAUUUGAGAUACAGAAAAACGUUUUGAAAGCGGAUUAAGGAAAAACGAGAAGUGGAGGCGAGAUGAUCUCUUUCCUUAAUUCAAAAUAUCUCCCGCAGUGUGGCGGUUGGAUGAGAUAAAGAAUCCCAGGAUACAACCACUAGUAUUUGUAUAAUCGCAGCACCCGAUUAUAGAAUGUGACGAACUGAUAUUCUACGAUAUACUCUCGGACACUUACUCUUGAAAGAAGAAAGGAGACGCGAGAGAUUUGAAGGAAAAGUGUGAAUGAUUUUUCUCUGUAAAUUUUCUGUAGAGAGCGAUCAAAAUUGGAAGAGGAAAAGUCGAUAUAUGUAGCGAAGGAGAGAGGAUCGUCGCACUUAAUCAGCGUGUUAAUGACGAGAUUAAUUUUGUGCUAAUGACGCGAUUUGGGCGUUAAUCUUGGCGUGAUUUUCAGGAGAGACAUUUGACUGCAGUUUAAUGUCGUGAUUCUGUUAAGAAUUUGAACCGAAAACUUUAGCAAUUUGGGCCAGAAAUGUUGACCAAAACGAGGCCCAAAAAGAACAUCUUUUGUGGGCCGAAGGCCCACAUUCACCAAGACCCAAGACCCAAGACCCAAGACCCAAGACCCAAGACCCAAGCACUACAAGAAAGAGGGGCUUUUCCGUCGAAUUAUUUACGACGAUUUGUAGUCGUCGUAAAUUUACGACGACAUUACGUCGUUUUUACGACGAUCAAAAAUUUUGUCGUAAAUUCGACGUAAAAAAUAACCCUUGUAAAAUCGUCGUAAUGUUACGACGAAUAAAGAACGAAUUUUAUUUCGUCGUAAUCUUGUCGUAAUAUUUACAUCGAUAAUACGACGAAUUGUCCUCUAUCUUGUAGUUGACGUAAAAUCAAUGUAAAUGUGAUGUAAAUUUUAUUUCGACGUAAAUUUGAUGUAAAUAUGCAAUGGUAAUAUGUUGGUAACCAAACAAAAAAUUCUAUAUAUACCCUUUCUUCUCUCAUUAUUCCAUCAUCCCAAAAAAACAUAUAAAAACACAAAUUUUUUGAGUCUUUGAAUGUUUAAGUAAAAUUUUUAGUAGUUGAAAUUUCUAUCAAAUUUCAGAAACAAAAAGUCAAAUAUUUGUUUUUGAAAUGUCUAUAUACGAUCUACGAAAGUGGAUGUAUACGCCCAAAAAUAGUGAUGGGUCGUUGACUGAAGACUUCAAAAACGGAUUGGAAAUAUUCAUGUACCAAGCCGGCCUUCUGGAAACUGUAAUUGAAAGCGGCAAAAUGUAUUGUCCUUGUGUGAAAUGCAAAAUAGGAAACAUAUUCUUAUUGACACUGUCUGGCAGCAUUUAUUGAAUAGAGGGUUCAUGCCUCAAUACUUUAUUUGGUAUCAGCAUGGAGAGGGAUAUGGUCAAAGUAGUGGUCAGAUGGCUGCACGGAGUAGUAGUAAUCAUCAAGAACAUGUGGAUUUUGAAGCGUCCAAUGAUUAUCAAAGUAGUCAAGUUCAGGGUGAAGAUCAUGAUAGGAUGCAUGAAAUGAUUACUGAUGCAUUUCAUGAAACACAUGCUGAUACUGUUGAGGAGCCCAAUGCAGAUGCGAAACGCUUUUAUGAUAUGUUAAACGCAGCAAAACAGCCUUUGUACGAGGGAUGUAGGGAAGGUUUAUCAAAAUUAUCAUUGGCAGCUCGGAUGAUGACAAUAAAAACAGAUCACAAUCUAUCUGAAGUUUGCAUGAACGAUUGGGCAGAUCUUAUUAAAGAGUAUUUGCCAGAUGAUAAUUUGGCUGCUGAAACGUAUUAUGAAAUUCAGAAGCUGGUUUUUAGUCUUGGAUUGCCUUCUGAGAUGAUUGAUGUUUGUGUUGAUAAUUGUAUGCUUUUUUGGAGAGAUGAUGAGAAGCUUGAAGAAUGUCGUUUCUGCCAAAAGCCAAGAUAUAGACCGCAAAUUGCUGGGCGUAAGAAGAUUCCUUACCAACGAAUGUGGUAUCUUCCUAUCACUGAUAGGUUAAAAAGACUAUAUCAAUCCGAACGGACAGCUGCGUCGAUGAGAUGGCAUGCGGAACAUUCACAAAAAGAUGGCAAAAUGACUCACCCGUCUGACGGGAAAUCUUGGAAACAUUUUAACACCGUACAUCCAGACUUUGCUAGGUCUAAGCGAAAUGUUUAUCUUGGUCUUUGCACUGACGGGUUUAGUCCAUUUGGUAUGUCUGGUAGGCAAUAUUCAUUAUGGCCUGUGAUUCUUACGCCAUAUAACCUUCCUCCAGAUAUGUGCAUGGAAAGAGAGUUUUUGUUUCUAAGUAUAUUAGUCCCUGGUCCAAAUCACACGAAGCGGGCCCUUGAUGUUUUUUUGCAACCACUCAUACAUGAGUUAAACCAGUUGUGGCAUGUUGGAGUACGAACAUAUGACUGUUCGAGUGGUAAAAAUUUUACGAUGCGAGCGGUGCUUAUGUGGACAAUAAGCGAUUUCCCGGCAUACGAAAUGCUAUCAGGUUGGACAACGCAUGGGAGGUUAUCAUGUCCUUAUUGUCUUCAUAGGACUGAUGCAUUUCAGCUUAAACAUGGUAGGAAAACCUGUUGGUUUGAUUGCCACCGUCGGGUUUUACUACGACGAAUUUACGACGAAUGGGAGUGAUCGUCGUAAAUUCGUCGUAAUAUACCAUCGAAAAUACGACGAAAUGUAAUCCCUAAAUCUUAUAAUCAAUCUUUUAUGGGGUUCAGAGGGGAUUUUGAUGAGGAGAAUGAAAUGGCUUACCAUCUCAUAAGGUAAAACAACUUUCUAAACAAAAAAAAAAAAAUUCAAAAUUUGACAUAUAUGUCUUUAUCAAGUAAUCUUAAGGUGUUAUAUACAUUUACACAAGAUGUAUGGAUUUAUCUUACAUCUUACUAAAUUCUUCAUUAAGUUAUGUAAACAUGCUAGAAAUUUAUACAGACCACAUUUAUCAUGAAUAGACAUGCUUGUAUGUGCUUAUGGAUGUUUCAAUUUUUGAAUUUCAUCAGUUUUGGUAUAAUUCGUCGUAAAUUCGUCGUAAUGUUACGACGAAUUUACGACGAUUUGUGGAUACACAGCCGUCUUAAUUUUUUUGAUUUAUAAGAUUCGUCGUAAAAUCGUCGUAACAUUACGACGAUUUUACGACGAAUAGCACGGAUCAUCGUAAACUCGUCGCAAAGCCCAGAUACAGCCACGUGUGUUUGUCUUACUCGCUUUGUUGUACGGUGGGACCUUUGCGACGAAUUUACGACGGAAUUCGUCGUAAUGUUUACGUCGAAUUUACGACGAAUAUAAAUUCUAUAUAUAGGACCUCACCCCUUCCUCAUUUCGUCGCUUAUCUCUCCUUCCUCUCUCUCUGCUUCCUCCUUGCCACCUCCUCCUUUUGACGCAAAAAAAAAGGUGAAUAAUUUUUUUUAAUUACUUAAAAUUAUAAUAAUUUUAAAUAGUUUAGAAAUUCAAACGGUUUAGGUCGGGAAUUAGUUUAGGCUCGGAAUUUGUUAGAUUUAGGAUCGGAAUUUGUUAGAUUUAGGAUCGUAAUUAAAAAUUAAUUGUAAUUAAUUUGAAAAAUAAUUUUUUUCGGUUUUGCAGACGAUGACUCGACGGAGGACGCAUUACAUCAAUUUCAUGGCGGACGGACAUUCUUCCCGGGCGUCUGCCUCGGGAAACACCGGGACCGAUGUCCCUUCAUCUUCCGGAGCCUCCCAGGUUCCGAAUACCGCGGAGCCGUCUCCACCACCGCCUCCACCACCACCUCCACCGCCGGCUGUCGAACCGGUACCCGCCCCGGCUGCCGAACCGGUACCCGCCCCUCCUCAUCUGUAUGUCCAGUUUACGAUUGAGGAUUUACUAGCCUUACCGGGACGGGGGGCUUUACGACGUCUGGUUCCCGGAAAAGCGGAACCAGGCUCUUAUUGGUAAGUAAACUUUUUUGUUUUUUUAUAGUUUUUAAAUUAACGCUUUAAUUUACUUAAAUAUUAAUGUAAUAAUUUUUUUUUUUGGUUUCAUAGGUUUACUUUGGAUAAUUGUGUCGGGCGGAGCGUUUCCGACACAAUUAAGAGUCAUUUCGUGGAGCACGUCAAUUGGAGCAAGGUGUCGCAAGAGACGUGCGACACCUGGUACAAGUGCUUCGCGGUAAUAUUUUUAAAAUCUUAUUUAUAUCAUUUUAAAUUGUUUUAAAUUUAAUUAAUCUUACUUUUAUAUUGUUUAUCUAAUUUUUUGUUUUCUUUUGCAGCAACGGUGGAACUGGGACAUCGGGAUCAACGAGACGGUCCGCGAAGCUUUCGAGGAAAAGGCGAAGAAACGCCUAGUCAACACCGUUUCCGAUUGGAAGCGGAAAUGGGAGACCGACGGCGACGACGCAAAGCCGAGCUCCAUGUCCACUUGGUGUUGGAACGGGUUGAAGGCGUAUUGGGUGGACCCGCAUGCCCAAACCACCGCUGCUAAGUGUUCGGCCGUCCGAAACCGGGUCGAUCCGGUGACUGGUGAGAAGUUAGUGAACCCGUACACUUCUGGCCAAAUAUCUUUUACGGGAAGACGUCUCAUGAUGGUAAGUAAUUAAAUAUAAAUUAUUUCAUUAUUAUUUUAAUUUUAUUUAUUGCUAGAAUUAAUUAAAUAUUUUUGACUAAUAAUGUUUAUUAAUUGGUAGGCCGAGGAGAACGGAGGAGAACUACCUCCAAUGACGAAGCUCUUCGAGACCACUCACCGGAAGAAGGACGGGAGCUUUGUCGACGCUCGGUCCGAGGAGAUCUACAAUGCCGCUUGCAGCGGAUCGCCGAGCGGGAGACCCAGGCCACACCUGACGGUACUAUCCAAGUACCGUUGACCGUCGCUGAGCAAGACCAGAUUUUCGAAGAGGUAUGAUAUCUAUUUCAAUUUUUUAAAAAUUUAUUAUAUUUAUAAUUACUUAAUAAAUAAUUAACGUUUUUAUUUUCCAUUUGUAGGUUGCUCCGAAGAAGAAGGGCCGAACCUUAGGGAUGGGCUCUAUUAGAGAUUGUCCUGCCGCCACGGCUUCCGGAUUCCGCACGCAGGAUCCGCAGCUUCGCCAGGAGCUUGCUACGGCCAAUGCUGAGAUCACCAGUCUCAGGCAUGAGCAAAUGGCCCAGAAGCAGGAGCUCACCGAGAUACAUGAUCUCUUCGACAUCAUUGCGGAAGCGGUUCCGCAGUUGGCCACCGCAAUCCGAGCGAGGCAACAGCGAGCACGGAGGGUUUUUGAGACCGGUGGUAAUUCCGGUACUGGACCAUCGGACCACCAGACGCAGGGCGGUCAGUCUUCGGCUCCGGUCUCAGCAGCGACGGGCGGUCAGACUUCGGCUCCGGUAGUGCAUACGGGAAACGUCGGCCUAGCAGCGACGGGCGGCCAAGACGGAGAGCCUCCUCGUGACGUCGAUCUCAACCUCGACGAUUACGACAUCAUUGUAUAGAUUAGGUUUUUUUGUAAAAAACAAUUUGUAUUAAUUUUUUUUAUUUAUAAAUUAUUUUUGAAUUUAAAUUUCAAUUUAAAUUCAAAUUUUUUCUAUUUUUAAUUUUUUGAUUAUUUUAAAAAUUCAUUAAUUAAAUAAAAUCGAAUUAAAUAAUUAAUUUAUAAAUCGACGUAAAUUCGUCGUAAAUUUACGUCGAUUUACCGUCGAAUAUUUAACGACGAAUUUACGACGAAUAAGUUUACGUCGGCUUUACGUCGAAACUUUACGACGAUUUAACAUCGACAAUUAAAAAUUUAGUUUCCCUUAAUUGAAAUUGUUCGUCUCCUAAUCGUUGUUAAAUCGAUGUAAUUUUACAUCGAUUUAACGUUGUUUUUAUGAUGGAGUUCUUUCGUUGUACAUCCGUUGGAAAUUUUACGACGCAUUUACGACGAAUUGUUCCCGACGAUUUUACGACAAUUUUCCGGAGUUGGUAAUUUUACGACGAUUUUACGACGAUUUCGGUUUUACGACGAUCGUUUUACGACGAUUUUUAAUUUGUCGUUAAUCCGACGUAAAUGCUCUUUUACGUCGAUUUUACGUCGAUAUCUGCCGACGUAAAAGCCGAUCUUUCUUGUAGUGAAGACCCAAGACCCAAGACCCAAGACCCGAGCCCGGCUCGGCUCGGCGGCGGCGGCGGCGCGCGAGGGGUCCUUGGUUCUCCUUCACACACUUUGAACUAUGUCAUGUGUGUGUCUAUAUUUAUAUGACUAGAAAAUUUUCCAAUCCUCCAAUGUGGGACAAAAUGAUGUUCCUCACAAUUUAAGUUGCCUUGAAGGGCUUUAUUUUUAUUCACACUUGACCAAAUUUUAAAGCCUUUGGGCUUUGUAAUAAUUUGGGUCCAACAAUCCCCCACAUGAAUAGAAAUAACUCUAGACAUACGACCGGACUGACUCGAAGACUGGACUCGACUAGACUAAACUAAACGGACUUUCGAGAGUAUAAACGAAAAUUCCACUGUGUUUGAGAUAGUAGUAUGUUUCAACCUUGAACCACUCAAUGUUAAUAUCUGUCGGGCUUACUCAGCUAGAAGGUGAACAUGAUGUCUUGAACCACCCGAAUUUUGAUGUAAACCGAGACAACAAAUACAACUCAGUUUCAUUUUCUCGUAGAACUAUGUUCUCUAUUGUGUUCAUUUUGGCCUUGAACUUGCCUGGUUAAUCAUGAGUGAAGUUGGAGAAUAUAGCCUUUUGUUUUUCCAUUCUCAUAGAAACGGCCCCAUUUCACACUCACUAGGUGAUUUGCCAGUAGUCUUUGUUUUAAGAAGUGUUGUACUUCACUGAUAUAUCAAAGCUACGGUCUUCUCAUUAACAGCUUUGCUUAUCCUUUGAAAAUAUACAAUGAAAAUUGUAUGUAAGCACUGUCAAUCAUCUUGGGACCUAGGUUAAGACUAUACGUCUUUCAGUGCUUUAGAUUUUGUUUGAUUUAGUUUUCCCUUUUGAACCAUACAUCUUGAGAUCUCCAGUCAUGUAGGUGGGGUUUCCAUCAAACAACCUCUUUAGUCAUAGGCUUUAAACCCAUUCCCUUUGACGAUUUGAGAACUUGAUCACGAGCUAGACCCUUAGUGAAUGGAUCUGCUAGAUUAUCAGCUGAUUUUAUGUAAUCUAGUGAGAUUACUCCGGUUGUGAUCAAGCUUCUAAUGGAUUUAUGUCGCUUUCUUAUGUGACGAGAUUUACCAUUAUAGAGAUUAUUUAGUGCCCGGGCGAUAGCUGAUUGACUAUCACAGUGUACACGUAUUGCCGGGACUGGUUUCUCCCACAUUGGAAUAUCUUCCAAGAAAUUUCGGAGUCAUUCGGCCUCCUCUGCAGCUUUAUCUAAAGCUAUAAAUUCAGACUCCAUGGUUGAUCGGGCCAGUAGAGUUUGUUUGGAAGACUUCCAAGAGACUGCUGCACCAGCAAGGGUAAAGACAUAUCCACUUGUGGAUUUUGAGUUUUUGGUGUCAGAUAUCCAGUUUGCAUCACUGUAUCCUUCCAAAACUGCGGGUUCUCUCCCAUAGUGCAGCCCAUAACUUUUAGUGUAUCGAAUGUAAUUUAAUACUCUAGUUAUGGCUUUCCAGUGUUUGUGUCCUGGAUUAUUUGUAUAGCGACUAAGUACAUUUACCGCGUGUGCUAGAUCAGGUCUAGUACAAUUGGUUAAGUACAUAAGGCUACCAAUUAUCCUUGCAUACUCGACUUGUGACACUGCUUCACCUGAGUUUUUGGUCAAGUGAAGUUGAGAGUCAACAGGAGUUUUUGCAGUUCCAUUUGAAUAGGUUUUAAACCGUUCAAGUAUCUUUUCAGCAUAAUGUGCUUGAGACAAGGUAAUCCCAUCAGAAGUUCUUGUGAUUUGUACCCCAAGAAUGACAUCUGCUAGACCCAUGUCUUUCAUGUCAAACUGUGCACUAAGCAUAUUCUUAGUUUGUUGGAUUAUGUCAUUAUUGCUGCCAAUAAUUAACAUGUCAUCUACAUAUAAACAUAGUAGGAUAUAUCCAUUAGGGGUCGUUUUUAUGUAAAUGCAUUUAUCACAUUCGUUUAUGCUGAAGCCAUCUGACAUCAUCGCAUUGUCAUAUUUUUCAUGCCAUUGUUUUGGUGCUUGUUUAAGUCCAUACAACGACUUCACAAGUCUACAGACUUUGUGUUCUUGUCCCGGGACUACAAAUCCUUCGGGUUGUUUCAUAUAGAUUUCCUCGUCUAAUUCACCGUUUAGAAAGGCUGUUUUGACGUCCAUCUGGUGGAUUUCCAAAUUUCGUAAGGCUGCAAUUCCAAUCAGCAUUCUGAUGGAAGUUAUUCUCAUUACUGGAGAAUAAGUGUCAAAGAAAUCCAGACCUUCUUUUUGUCGGAAUCCUUGCACUACAAGUCUAGCCUUAUAUUUAUCAACUGAGCCAUCGGUCUUCAAUUUCGUUUUGAAGAUCCAUUUACACCCUAGAGCUUUAAACCCUUCAGGUAACUCAGUGAUUUCAUAAGUAUGAUUCCGUCUAAUGGAAUCCAUCUCACUAUUGACUGCUUCCUCCCAAAGAGGUGCAUCGGGAGUGGACAUAGCUUCAGUAAAUGUUCUUGGUUCGUUUUCGGUGAGAAAGACCAUCAAGAACUCAGGACCGAAGGAUUUUUCCUUACGAGCUCUUUUGCUGCGUCUAGGUUCUAUCUCUUCGUCUUCUGAAGCAGGAACCCCAGAUGUGGUUGCCACAUCUUCCAGAGGACGUUUUAGAUUUUGUCUAUCCUUGCACGGGAAAAUGUGUUCAAAAAAUGAAACAUUUCUUGAUUCCAUUAUUGUAUUCACCUGAAUAUCGGGUACAUCUAAUUUGUGAACCAGAAACCGAUAAGCACUACUGUUGCGUGCAUAUCCAAUGAAAAUACAAUCAACAGUUUUUGGUCCUAUGGUGACCUUUUUAGGUGGUGGCACAGCGACCUUUGCUAAGCACCCCCACACUCUCAUGUAUUUGUACGAAGGUACUCUACCUGUCCAUAGUUCAUAUGGCGUUUUGCCAGUUACUUUGUGCGGUAUUUUGUUGAGGAUAUAGUUUGUAGUGAGAAUUGCUUCCCCCCACAGAUUCUGGGGUAGCCCAGAUUCCUGCAACAUUGCAUUCAUCAUCUCUUUAAGAGUUUGAUUUUUGCGUUCCGCAAUUCCAUUAGAUUCUGGUGAGUAGGGAGCGGUGGUCUGAUGUAUAAUGCCUUUUUCUAGACAGAAAACAUUGAAUGGACCAUCAUAUUCGCCUCCUCUAUCACUCCUAACAAUUUUAAUAGUUUUACCGAGUUGAUUUUCAACUUCGAUUUUAUAUUCUUUGAAUUUCUCCAAGACUUCAUCUUUACUUCUUAGUAAAUAGAUGUAACAGUAUCUUGUACAAUCAUCAAUGAAAGUUACAAAAUACUUCUUACCUCCUCUAGAUUUUACUAACUUUAAGUCGCACAAAUCUGUGUGUAUGAGGCCUAGAGGUUCGGUAGUUCGAUCGACAUGAGGAGAUGGAGUUUUUGUGAGUUUUUGUACGCAUGUCUCACAUUUAUUUUUGCUUAUUUUGCAUUUGGGGAUUAAGUUCGAAUUUAUUAAUCUUUGUAUAGAUUUAUAAUUCACAUGUCCUAAUCGUUCAUGCCAUAAAUCAAAAGACUCAACCAAGUAAGAAGAUUCAUUCUUAUUAAUUGACCUGGUAGAAGGUACAUCAUUUUUGAGGACAGUCAUUACACACAUUUUGAUUAAGUCCUCCUUAACAUAACCCUUCCCAAUAAAAACCCCAUGUUUCCUUAAAAUCAGCUGGUUAGAUCCAAUGCGGACGUCGAAUCCGUGCUUGUUGAUCAUGGUUCCAGAGAUCAGGUUUUUCCUCAUUUUUGGCACAUGCUUCACAUUGGUGAGGGUGACUUCUUUUCCCGAAGUCAUCUUUAAGACCACAUUGCCUAUGCCUUCAAUCUUGGAGUAUGACUCAUUUCCCAUCAACAAGUGCGCAUUGUUCUUGCAUUUCUUGUAGGUUGAGAACUGGUCUUUGUCCAUGCAGAUGUGAGUGGUUGCACCAGUGUCAUACCACCACGUUUUUGGGUUUGGCUCAACCAUGUUGACUUCUGUGACCAUUGCACACAGAUCAGCUUGAGUCAAGUUGGCUUGUCCUUUGUUGUCCCUCAGCCUGCUUCGACAUUCAUUGGAGGUGUGGCCCUUCUUGUUGCAAUAGGUGCACUUCCCAACAAAUUUGGUUUUGGGAGUUUCCUUUUUGAAGGAAGUGGAUGAUGAUGGAGCAAACUUGUUUUGCCUUCCUUUGGGAGGAAAUUUCCCGUUGCCUUUGACUUUCCCUUUUCCCUUGUUCUUGAACUCUGCUACAUUUGCAUUGUAGGAGUGAAAUGGUUCAGGGUUGACAGGCGUGGCAGCUUUUACCUCGCGUUUCAAAGACUCAUUUUGCAGCCUGGAAAUCAGAUUUGACAAGGUCAUAGACUUCUGCUUAUGAUCCAGAUAGUUUCUGAAGUCUGCCCAGCUAGGAGGUAGCUUGUCGACGAAGCAAUUCACUAUGAAGGUUUCACAGAUCUUCAUUCCUUCAUCAGCGAUUUCUUGACAAAUCAUCUGAAGUUCAUGGACUUGUUCCAUGAUGGGCCUUGAGUCCACCAUCAUGUACCUCGUAAAUUUGGAGGUUGCAUACCUUCCAGAGGAUACAUUGAAAGUCUUGUACUUCUUAUCCAAAGCUUCCCAGAGAUCCUUGGACGACUUGAUUUCGCAAUAGACAUUGAACAAUUGGUCAACCAAGCGGCUCUGGAUGUAGCCUUUGCAAAGGAAGUCCCCAUGGACCCAUGCUUCAACGCUUGCAACAGCACGCACAUCAGUAUUCCCAGUGGGCAAAGCAGGUUUGUCCUCGGUGAGAUACCUAUCCAAAUGCAGAGUGCACAGGAAAAAGUGCAUCUUUUGCUGCCACUGUUUGAAGUUGGUACCAUCAAACUUAUCCGGUGAGAUACCUGCAGCAAUAGCGCUGGGUAAAUUCGGAAUGUUUGUGGGUAGGGAUCCGAGUGCUGCACCUCCAACCGCUAAGGGUGUUGAUUCAGCGACAUCCUCUUGUCUUCCAUCAACGGAUUUCUCCACAUUUUUCGACAUCUGUUCCAAACGAGACAGGAAAAAAAAUGUCAGAUUCGUUGAAUAGAAUCGAUAGAAUAGCGAUUAAAAUAAGAGUCGCUAAUUUAUGCGUUCUGCGGAAACGCUAUAGAGCGGCCGUAGAAUCGCGUUUGAGUUUUGAACUCGAAAAGACGUUCACGGAUUUAACCGAGACGAUUUACAGACGCGGAAAGGAAGUUAUAAAAACUGUCCUUGUGUGGUCCAAUAGCGUUUCGCGUAACUUGCCAAAGGCCUUCGCGGAAACGGUUUCUUGUUAUAAAAAAAAAUCGUUUUUUCCUUAAAAACGUUUUCUGAAAAUCGUUUGUAUAGCAAUAUAGGAUCCGAUUCAAGCGAUAAGCAGGAUCGGAUUAUUUUGAAUUAAGACUGUAGGAAGUAAAUUUAGAGGAGACAAAUAUUGCAAUGUAAGAAAACGAUUUGAGAUACAGAAAAACGUUUUAUGAAAGCGGAUUAAGGAAAAACGAGAAGUGGAGGCGAGAUGAUCUCUUUCCUUAAUUCAAAAUAUCUCCCGCAGUGUGGCGGUUGGAUGAGAUAUAGAAUCCCAGGAUACAACCACUAGUAUUCGUAUAAUCGCAGCACCCGAUUAUAGAAUGUGACGAACUGAUAUUCUACGAUAUACUCUCGGACACUUACUCUUGAAAGAAGAAAGGAGACGCGAGAGAUUUGAAGGAAAAAUGUGAAUGAUUUUUCUCUGUAAAUUUUCUGUAGAGAGCGAUCAAAAUUGGAAGAGGAAAAGUCGAUAUAUGUAGCAAAGGAGAGAGGAUCGUCGCACUUAAUCAGCGUGUUAAUGACGAGAUUAAUUUUGCGCUAAUGAUGUGAUUUGGGCGUUUAUCUUGGCGUGAUUUUCGGGAGAGACAUUUGACUGCAGUUUAAUGUCGUGAUUCUGUUAAGAAUUUGAACCGAAAACUUUAGCAAUUUGGGCCAGAAAUGUUGACCAAAACGAGGCCCAAAAAGAACAUCUUUUGUGGGCCGAAGACCCACAUUCACCAAGACCCAAGACCCGAGCCCGAGACCGAGCCCGGCUCGGCUCGGCGGCGGCGGCGGCGUGCGAGGGAUCCUUGGUUCUCCUUCACACACUUUGAACUAUGUCAUGUGUGUGUCUAUAUUUAUAUGACUAGAAAAUUUUCCAAUCCUCCAAUGUGGGACAAAAUGAUGUUCCUCACAAUUUAAGUUGCCUUGAAGGGCUUUAUUUUUAUUCACACUUGACCAAAUUUUAAAGCCUUUGGGCUUUGUAAUAAUUUGGGUCCAACAAUUGUUAAAUUAGCAGCAUGUUCUAUAUGUAGUAGAUUGGUUGGUAAAGUAAAUCAGUCAUAGUCAGUGAAGACCUAAGGUAAAUUCAUUUUCUAAAAUCAAAAACAUUUAUUAUGAUAGAUAUUUGGCUAGUGGUAUAUGCUCGUAUUCAUAUAAUAAUUGAAUGAUGUUUGUAUACAUGCCAGUCGUCCUCAUUUCAUUUUCUAAACCAAAACCAUUUAUGAUCAACGAGAUUUUGGUUUGUAUAUGCUGAAUUCCAUAAGCGGAUGCCUCCAGAAGCCAUUGACCUUGCAUCUCGGCUUCUACAAUAUUCACCGAGUCUACGUUGCACUGCGGUCAGUAUCUCUACUAUACACGACCAAGUAUUUGUUGGAAUAAGCUUGAAGAAACUUGAAGUGUAAGUUUCCUAAUCCUAAUCAAAGUGUGUUUUAUAGAAGGUUAGGAUUAGAAAAGAAAAUUUAGGAGUUAUCUAAAUAAGAAAUUUGUUUCUCUAUUGGAAUUAGGAGUUAGCUAUUUUAUUCUCUAUAUAAGAGUUGCCAAAGUUGUGGUAAACCUUAUGAGUUGAAAGAAAUAUUAAGAGAGGUUUUAGUUUUUGAGUGAUUUUUCUAAAGCUAAUAAAAGAAGUUGCUUUUAUUCAUACUUGAUCUAAGUCUCAAUUCUAUAACUGGUAUUGUUGGGGUCGGUUUCAUCCCAAUCGGUUUAAACCAUCUCAAGAACAUUGGAGAGCCGAUCCGACAAGGAGAACCGGUGACCUGUCGAAAAUGGGCCGAGCCCCACAGAAGAAGGCCAAGCUCAAGUGGGCCGAGCCGUGAGGUGAAAAUGGGUGAGCCGCGUAUGAGAGCAGACGGGCCGAGAUGUGUCGUGAGGUAUGGGCUGAGCUGCACUUAACAUGAUUGGACCGAGUCGCGCCUCGGCGAGUUAGGCCAAGUCGCGUCUCAACUCGAAUGGCAAGUGGGCCGAGCCGUAGAGAAGGUUAGAUGGGCCGAGCUGUGAGAAGAAUGGUGAGCAGGCCUAGCAGCGCGAGAGGAGGCAUGGGCCGAAUCGCUUCCCUGUGUGUUGGGUCGAGCCGGUUUUCCAAGAUGGGCCGAACCAAGGCUUUAGAAGACGAAAGCCCACAGAAUUCCUAGGCGAAGUAUUAUGACGGUGGCCACACGAAGCGAUAAGGAAAUAUACCUAAAAUCUCUCCCAAGAUUCUCGAAAGAGGCGUUUUAAGAAAUUAGUAUAAAUAGGAGAUUUCUACGAUUCAUUAUAUAACUUUUGCCACCCUAAGCAAUAAGACCUAAACACUUUAACAGCAAUAAAAAUCCUCUUUUGAUCUUACUGUUCUUGCGAUUACCCUAGAAGUUUCGGAUCCCUUAGUUUUUCUCUUACAAAUUUUUGGUUGUGUGAGUUUUGGCUCACACAAUUUGGCGCCGACUGUGGGGAACAUCGAAACUUUCUUACUCUAAACCGAAAAGACUUUAAGAUCCGAAGAACAUGGCGAGCAAUACCCCCGACGAUAACCACAACAACAGAAACAAUGGUAACGGCGCGGAGAAGGACGCUCUGGCAUCAGGCACAACGACGGCAGCGACCGAAACCCAAGAGGAGAUGCGAAACAUGAUGGCCGCGUUGAUGAGGAAAAUCGACGAGGAGGACAAACGAAACGAGGCGAUUACGGAGAGGCUCGACGCGAUGGCGGCUGAGCGACAACACCCAACCUGGAGAGCUGGAAUUCCCGACCCAAUGGAUGGAAUCCGGAGACGCUUCAACUUUUCAACGCCUGCAGAGGCCUCUGGGAGCGGCGCAAGAAACCCCUUGGUUCGCCCAAUGUUUCGUCCCCUCGGCGAACAGACUCCCGCGGCAACCCGAGUCAACAUGACUGAGCCGCCUCCACUCCGUCGGAACUCAAGGCGACGAGCCGGCGAGGAGGAGAAUGACGCGAUUGACGUGGACGCCCAGCAGAACGAUGGAACCACGAAUCCGCAACAAAAUGGCUCGGCUCGGCGGAUAAGCUAAGAAGAGCUCGCCUCGGCACUAAACGGCGUCCGGACUGACGAAGUCUCCGAUCCGACUCACGGCGACAACCCGACUGAAGAAGAAGAAAAUCUCCAAUGGAUCGAGCAGGUGAAGCGCGAAGACGAGCCGAGGAGAGAAGAGUAGGAGCGACUCCCCCAAUCAAAAGGAAUGACUCACGCGCAAACUCUCGAACUCAAAGAGUUGCGAGCCUCAAUGGCUCGGACAGUAGCUGAAAUACGCGCCAUGAAGUCUCAAGUGCACAACGCAACGAGUGCUGCGCCCGAGAUCGACCGGAUGCUUGAAGAAACUCAGAGAACUCCAUUCACGGCAAGAAUCACGGAGGCAAGGAUUCCCGAGCCCGGAAAAGUGAGAAUCCUGUUCUACGAAGGAACAACCGAUCCGAAAGCACACAUCACAGCGUUUCGGAUAGCAAUGGGACGAGCCUUCACAAAGAACGCUGCCAAACUGACCGAGCGGGAAGUAGAUGCCAGAUACUGCCUGCUCUUCGUGGAGCAUCUUAAGGGAGCCGCACUCGAGUGGUUUUCGAGGCAGGAACGCAACUCCAUCGGCAGCUUUCAACAGCUCUCUGCCUUGUUCCUUAAACAAUACUCGAUGUUUAUGGAUAGAGGAACGUCUGAUGCCGACCUGUGGACACUAUCCCAAGGACCGAACGAACCACUUCGAGAUUACAUGGCAAGAUUCAAGGCAGUCGUAUCCAAAACAGAAGGGAUAAGCGACAAGGCUGCACUCGAAGCUCUGAAACAAUCUUUGUGGUACAAAUCCGAGUUCCGACAGGAGAUGGCACUCAACACACCCCAAACAAUUCAAGACGCUUUGCACCGGUCAUCAGACUUUGUCGUAAACGAGGAGGAGAUGAAAAAUUUGGACGAGCAGUACGAAGCAACGAAAGCAGCAAUCCGAAGCUCAAUUUUGACGGGCCCCUCGAAGAAAGGCGACCCAUCGAACAACACAACAACGCAGAGCUCGGACGAACCUAGAAGCGGAGGUGCCCAUAACUACCAGGUAGGCACCGGACGCGGAAGAGGAGAGCCGCGCAACAACACUUGGGUAAGAAAGUCUGCUAACUACGACGAGAAGGCUUUCUGCGAAUAUCACCAGACCUACAGGCACUCAACGACACAAUGCCGAACGUUAGCAGCAAAACUCGCGGCUAAGAUGGCAGCGGGAGAGCUCCAAAACGCGGUCAACCUCAAAGACCUCGUCCCUAAUGAACCACAAGAAAGAGCCGAGCCGAGCGGCGCGGCUGAACCCGCAAAUCCUCCCCGACAAGGCGAUAACUCCAAGCGUGACAGGAGAGGCGAACCUGAAGAGCGACCCAAGCCGAGGCAAAUGAUCAAUAUGAUCAUGGGAGGAUCUCAAUACUACCAAGAUAUCGUGUCCUCCAUCAAAGCCUAUCAGCGCCGAGCCGAAGCGAAGGAGAAUUGGACAGAACCAACCGACAUCCUAAAUACAGUGAUCUCCUUCGCCGAGGAGGAAACGGCAGGAAUCGAUAGACCCCACAACGAUCCAUUGGUGAUUGAGUUAACAAUCAGGGAUCAUGACGUAGCGAGGGUGCUCAUCGAUAUUGGAAGCUCGGUGAACGUCAUCUUCAGGGACACACUCAGAAGAAUGGGAAUCGACCUCUCCGAGGUGGAAGCAAUCCCCAAACGUCUAACCGGAUUUUCAGGAGAAACGACGAUGACUAUGGGAACGAUCAGGCUCCCUGUGGUAGCUGGCGGAGUCACGAAGAUCGUUGAAUUCUGCGUCACCGAUCACCCAACAAUCUAAAAUGUGAUUAUGGGAACUCCAUGGAUCAACGGAAUGAGGGUGGUCCCCUCCACCUAUCAUCUCUGUCUCAAGUUCCCGACUCCAGCGGGUGUCAAAAUGAUCUGGGGGAAUCAGAAGGAGUCACGAAUGUGCUGCCUAGCAUAGCACAAGCUGAGGAACCCCGUCACCGACGCACGAGCAGACAUAGAUCGCAAAAAGAUGAAGACAGACCGAGAGCCUGCGAACAAGCUCUUGAAACUCUUAUAGCACUUACAGAUCGCGGAGAGCCGCAAAACACGCGCCGAGCCGGUAUGUGAUGCGGUGGACUCGGUGUGCAUAGACGAGGCGCGUCCGGAGUGAUGCGUCAAAAUUGGAGCAAAACUAGAAGAGCCUCUGAGAAGCAAACUCCUUUCCCUCCUCAAGGAGAACAUCAACACUUAUGCCUGGACAGCGGAAGAUAUGCCAGGCAUAAGCAUCGACGUGACCUGUCACGAGCUGAACGUGGACCCGACCUUUUGAUGUGCUCGUGUCAACUACGUGAGGGAACAAGUUUUACCCUUAACAAGACAAAUGAAAGCCGCAAGUGCACAGCGAAUCAGUUGUAGUAUUUAGGGAUCAAAUCCACAGAGAUUUGUGUACCUGGUAUUCUUCUACGGUUUUUAACUUUAUGUCUAGACUAAAUUGGUUUUAAAGGUUAGUUGUUUUUCUUGCGAAUUAAACUAAAACAAAAGAAAGCAAAUAAAUAUAUCCUAAAAAACAGGUAAGAAAAUCGAAUGAAAUGCAAUUAGAAUAGGCAAAUAUCGAAUGAAAGACUAAUAAGGCAAGUAAGAUAUCGCAUGAAAAGUAAAUAAAGCAAGUAAAUAAUGAACUAAGAAAAUUGAAAUGCAGGUCUAAAAAAGCAAGUAAAAAUCGAUGGAAUUGUAAACUAUGGCUAAAAACGCUGAGCUUUUGGGAACUCUAAGGGAUCAUAAUCGGUUUUAACACUAAGGUAGAUAGAUUGGGAUUGACAGAUAACGAUAUAUGGGUUCUAGAGCUAGAGUACGGCGGUAUGACUACGUCACUGUCGUGAUCAUAACCAACAGUUUCUCGCAACCCUGACCAGUAGGUUUCCACUCUGGCCCUGGAAGGGAGAGAACGCAAGAGCUGCACAAGACUCGUCAAUACUCACGAUCUCGCCGCAGGUAGGUUUCCACUCCUACGGAAAAAUCGCCUGUUUCAUUCUAGGGCUGAUACUUAAUGAAAACUUUCGCAACACUAACUAUCUAGAUCAGAUACUAGGUGAUCAAUCAAGCAUACAUGCAAUAAGAACAAGAAUAAACAGAGAACAGGUCGAAAUCCCAGAUCUAUAAACCUAGAUGUCUUAAUCGAUUAUGAGAGCCCCUUUCGGGAACCCUAAGCCCAACUCGGGAUCUACUCAGACAUGGCUGAGUUCGAAAUCAUCAUUGGUUUUAAUAUAAGUAAUGAAAAACAGUAAAGAAAAGAGAUAAAGAAAGCUUCUCUAUUGAAGAACUCGGACUUGAACAAUCUUCUACAAAAAUCUCAUAAAAACGGCUAAAGGAAAAGGGUUUAUGUAAAGUAUGAAGGGUUCUCCUUAAAAACGACCUAAAUGACAUGUAUUUAUAGUCUCCAAUACUCUAUGGUCUCUAGGGUUCCAGAAUUGAGGCUGAGAAUGACUUUGGGCUUCAGAUAAGUGGGCUUUAACUCGGAGAUUGAUUGCCGCAGUCGGGAGUGUUGUGACCGUGGCAAUUGGCUUGUUGGCCGCGGUCGGGAAGCUUCUGACCGCGGCAAAUAGCUUGUUGGCCGCGGUCGGGUGAGUUGUUGACCGACUUCGAAUGGCUCCGGGGCUAAUGAAAUAUCUUGAGAUCCAACCAUUGGAAUGUCUCCAAACCAAGUGAAUUUGAAAGCUGGUUGAUUCUUCUAUAAGUUGUCCAAUUUUGAGGGUGAUCAGACGGUGAGAAGGUCUUCGUCUCUCCAUGAGAGUUCUGACGGUCUGCAUUUAUCCAAAAGAGUCUUUUUGUUCCAUUUUGUGCCUCUUUAUCCCAAAUUACCUGAAAAGUCUUUUAAAAUCUGGAAACAUAGAAAUCCUUUGAAAACCUUUGAAAAUGGAGUAAAAACACCUGUAAAAGAUAUUAAAAUGAUCCAUAAAAAUGGUCAAAAUCCGGUGUUAUCAACUCUUCCAGACUUAGUCUUUUGUUUGUCCUCAAAGAAAAUAAGGCUAAAUCUCGGCGAGAGGUUUGAAAACGCAGGAACUAAACAAAAUCUCAGAGACCAAACUUCUAGACCAAUAUCAAUCAGUAUGCAUCAAUAGGAAUAGCCUAGAAAAUUCUCACUAGCAAUACAGGCAUAACUAGUCCGUUAAUCCGUCAUGCAGAAAUCUAUGCACUAAGAUCUAACUUCCAGUCAACUAGCUCUUAACAUUCAUUAAAAAUCUCGGUGGUUCUCAUCAAAGAAAAUCUAGGCAAGGCGAUCUAGGCUAGGUGUCAAGAAGGAUUAUUUUGGGGGGUAAGGCUUAAAGUGUUUACGGGUUACCUGAAGAUUUGGAGGAUGCAGGAUAUUAUGCAAAACCGCAAGAGAGAGUGAAGCUAUUGGUAUCCACAGUUUUCAGUUGGUGAGAAGAUGGAGAAUAAAAGCGAAAUAAAAUAAAAUAAAAAGAAAAGAAAAUGAUGAUAGAACCGUGAUGGUAGUGAAGUGCUGAUCAAUCACUCAUCCUCCGAAGUGUCGUCUGCGAACUGGUUUCGUCCAUUUUCUGCAAAAUGAAAUGAUUCUUGGAAAAAGAGUUAAUAUGGAUGCUGAUUUUAACACAUUAAGAUUUGUUACACUAAUACUAGCAUAAAGAGAUUAAUUAAAACCAUGAGCAAACAAAAUUGAUAUUGAAUCAGAGAAAUCAAGUAGUUCAUGACUAAAUUCGGAUUUUUGAUGUUCUUAACAUAGAAAUCUUCUAAAAAUCGGUUUUGAUGAGCAAUUUCCAUGUAAAAUUCUAAAGAUUACCCAAUACUAAUCACUAAUCACACAAGACUAAAUCAAAUUCAUCAAUUUUGCUGUUCCAAAUUCGAUUUUUAUUAAGCAUGUAGAAUCCAAAUUUCAAAAAUCUCAAUUUCUCUUAAGCUAAGUGCUAAAUCGAUUUUUAGAUAACCUAAAUGGAUAAUGUAUCAUUCUUAAGCUAUUUCCACCAUCAAUAGACCAAGAUUUUGGGUUUUUAAAGAAAACCCUAAGUUCAAAUCGAGUAAGAAUGGUGAAUUUGAGGUUCAUACCUUGCUGGAAAGAGAGAAUUGAUGGCAGAAUUGAAAUCAGCUUUGAAAAAGAGUGAGGUUUGAGCCAAAAAUCUCUUAAAAAGCUUAAGAAUUGAAAAAUGUGUUCUUUCUCCUAGAUCUUUAAGUCUUUUGGAAGAGAGGAGAAGAAAGAGUUUUGAUCCAAAAAGUUUGUUUCUUUUCUUUAAAAAGCAUUUUUGAAGCAAAAACGAAAAAUUUCUGGAAAUUUUUAAGUUUAUGGGAACUUACCUUUUCUUGUUUGCACAUUAGGAAAGUUCAAAACUUACGGAGGAUCUUUUCGGGUUUUACCGGGAACAUUUCGGGAAACACCGGGAAUCACCAGGCAACACCGGGAAAUACCGAAAAAGGCAGAAAUCCGCGGCAUCACCUCAACGACCAACGGCCGCGGUCAGGAGACGCGCGACCGCGGUGAUUGAGGGCUCGGCCGCGGUCAUGUUCACGGUGCCGCGGUCGACGCACCCUUGGCCACGGGUCGAACGGUCGCCACCGCGGCUCUUCCUCCUGCGGCCUAUUGUCCAAUCUUCUAGUCUUUGCCGGGCCGAGCGGCUAAAAACCUACCUUUUCUUCUUGGUUUUUCUAAUUUUCUGAUUUUUUUGUGUUUUUGUUUUAUAACAUACCUAAAACUUAAAAAGAAAAAGAAAGCAUAAAUUGUAAAAAGGAAAAGAAAACUAAAAGAAAGAGUACCUAAAUGGGUUGCUUCCCAUUAAGCGCUUUUGUUUUAAGUCGUUUAGCUCGACGUAAGCAUGAGGAAUCAGGCUGAUUUGAAUGGCACUCCACUUGAUGUGCCUUUAUCACUUCCGGUUGCUGGAGGUUUUACUUCUUCUCCUUGAGGAGAAGUCUUCUUACCUUUACUCUUCUUUCGGACUUUAAUGUUGUUCAGAACCCUUUUUGUGUUUUUGAUCAGCUCCUGGAUUUGGUCCUCACUAGUUUCUGUUGCAUCUGGUGGAAUGAUGAUCUUGAUCUUUGCAAAAGCUUUCGGCUUCUCCUUUUCUUUCUCUUUUGGCAUGUUUCCUUUGCUUGGAAAUUCUUCUAAGAUAGUAGGAUAGUACAUUUUUCUGUCCACAUUGAGGAAAACAGCAUGCCGGUUUGCGUGAUCGAUAAUUGCUCCUACUGUAGCUAGGAAUGGUCUCCCGAAAAUGAGUGGCCUCUCCAUGUCUUUAUCCAUCUCUAGGACUUGGAAAUCUGCUGGAACAGUCUUAUCUCCCACUAGAACUUGUAGAUCGUGAAUCGCCCCUUCAGUAUCUUUUUGAGAUAAAUCUCCAAAGAUAACCUUAACCGUCGAUGUCCUUAAGGUUUUUAUGCCCAAUUUUUCGGCAAAUGUCUUAGACAUGAUGUUGACAUUGGCUCCGGAAUCGCACAAGCAGUCUGUAAACUUGAUUCCUGAAAUGAAACACUGGAAAACAAAACGUCCCGGAUCAUCGGCUUUGGUAAGCCUUUGAAACGGUGAUAGUUCAGGUACCUUAAACGGUGGCUGCUUGGGAUCGAUAUCCUUGUACAGCGGUACAAAGAUUGGGGUUUCUUCUUUCUUUCCAUCGGUUCCGGCCUCUUCUUCGGGCAAUGUGGUUAUGGCGUUGCAAAACUUCUUAGCGUUAUCUUCAACUCUUCCUGGAAGAACUCCACUUUUCCUCUUCAUAGAGUCGGCCGUUUGGGCGACUUGCACAUCUAAUUUUUUUACGUGCGAAGAUAAAGAUUCAAACUUACCAUUCAGAUCAUUGUACAUGCAGACCACUUUCACGUUCACGUCUUUAGAUGCUUUUUCGUUCGUCAUAACGAGCUGUUGGAUUGACUGUUCAAGUCUACCGAUUUGUGAAGCUAGCUGGUUCGUCGUGACUCCCUGCUGUUGUACAAAUUGAUUGUUAAAACCCGUACCUUGGUAGUUAUAUGGCUGUCGCGGUUGAUAUGGUACUAUUCCUCCAAAGUUUCCACCUUGAAACUUGUUUUGGAAGGAUUUUUGCUGAGGUGGGUAGUACUGAUCUUGAGGAUUCUCCACAUUUGGAUUGCGGUAAGAGAGAUUGUUGUAAUUUGCAUUCCGGAAGUUGUUGUUGAAGUUGUUGUUGGAGCGAUUUUGGUAUGGCAUUAGUGCUCCUACGUAGUUCACAUCUUCUUCUUGAAAUGCUUGAUUAAUGUGAUCGAUAUCACUAGGUCCUUCCUCUUCUGCGCCAUUUUUGGUUUCACAGGCAUGGAUCGGGCGAUUGUUGCUCUUCAGAAGCUGGUUCACCAUGUUCUUCAACUCGGUUAUCUCCUUGUUGUCUGUUCCGGAUUGCUUCAUCGAUCGAUCGUAUUCAGGACAGUCAUUGCUAUUGGCUUGAGCCAAAUUUUCGAUGAGAGCUCUUCCUUGGGUUAUCGUCUUUUGCCCAAAAUCUCCAUUGCUAGCUGUAUCAAGUGAAAGUUUGUAUUUUGGUUGCAAACCUCGAUAAAAUGUGCUUAGCAGGCUUGAUCCAUGAAAUCCAUGGUGAGGAGUCACGUUCAUAUUCCUUAAAACGUUCCCAAGCUUCAUAGAAAGAUUCAGUUGGCCCUUGUUGAAAGGUUGAGAUCUUCGUUCUCAAAUUGUUCGACCUUGACUUAGUGUAGAAGUGGUUUAGGAAAGCAGUUCUACAUUCUUCCCAAUUGGUAAUCGAUCCUGCAGGCAAAGACUUCAACCAACGGUGAGCUUUAUCUGCUAAUGAAAAAGGGAACAACUUACACUUUAAAUAGUCAGGUGGAACUUGGUUUGUUCUCAUCAUGCUGCAAAUUUCUUCAAAAAGCUCGAUAUGGUCCAUUGGGUGCUCAGAAGGAACUCCAUGGAACUGGUUUUGCUUCACCAAUGAGAUGAUUUGAGGCUUGACUUCAAACUCAUUCCGGUUUGGAAAUGGUACUUGAAUCGCAGAUCGAUUCUGAAAAUUUUGAGUAUGUGCAUCAAAAUCAGCUAUGCGAUGGUUCUUGGCUUGUCUUUGGUGUUGAUUUGCUGGCGGAAUGGGGCGGUGAAUGCGUUUAUUCGGCUGCAUUGCUGGGUGGUCACCAUCGGCUGCAUUGAUGGGUGGAUCAAGGUCUUCACGUCCUUCUCUCUCUCGGUUCUGGUGGUUUCUUGGAAGAACCUCAUCCUCCUCUCCAUCUUGUCGAGCAUGAUCACCUUUUAUGUGAUCAUUCUCUUUGUUUUCUCCAUGUUCGGACCCGUCUUGGUCCAUAUUUAAAUUUCGAUUAAUAGGAUCUCUAGGCUGGUCGUCGUUGGCCAUUCCUUGCGUUCGUCUAAGUCUUCGAAGUUUUCUUUCGUGUCUGUCUAUCUCGUCUAGAAUUGGAAUGUCUCCUGCAGGUCUACGCCUGGUAUUCAUGAAAUUCAGAGAAAAACAAAAGAAGGGAAAGAUAGUUCAGAAAAACUUUAAGAAAGAACUAGAGAUCAGGUGUCUAGAACAGAAGUUAAAACAAGAAAAAUAGCAAAAGGCAGCGAAACAAAUCCCCGGCAACGGCGCAAAAAACUUGAUGUGCUCGUGUCAACUACGUGAGGGAACAAGUUUUACCCUUAACAAGACAAAUGAAAGCCGCAAGUGCACAGCUAAUCAGUUGUAAUAUUUAGGGAUCGAAUCCACAGAGAUUUGUGUGCCUGAUAUUCUUCUACGGUUUUUAACUUUAUGUCUAGACUAAAUUGGUUUUAAAGGUUGGUUGUUUUUCUUGCGAAUUAAACUAAAACAAAAGAAAGCAAAUAAAUCUAUCCUAAAAAACAGGUAAGAAAAUCGAAUGAAAUGCAAUUAGAAUAGGCAAAUAUCGAAUGAAAGACUAAUAAGGCAAGUAAGAUAUCGCAUGAAAAGUAAAUAAAGCAAGUAAAUAAUGAACUAAGGAAAUUGAAAUGCAGGUCUAAAAAAGCAACUAAAAAUCGAUGGGAUUGUAAACUAUGGCUAAAAAUGCUGAGCUUUUGGGAACUCUAAGGGAUCAUAAUCGGUUUUAACACUAAGGUAGAUAGAUUAGGAUUGACAGAUAACGAUAUAUGGGUUCUAGAGCUAGAGUACGGCGGUAUGACUACGUCACUGUCGUGAUCAUAACCAACAGUUUCUCGCAACCCUGACCAGUAGGUUUCCACUCUGGCCCUGGAAGGGAGAGAACGCAAGAGCUGCUCAAGACUCGUCAAUACUCACGAUCUCGCCGCAGGUAGGUUUCCACUCCUACGGAAAAAUUGCCUUUUCAUUCUAGGGCUGAUACUUAAUGAAAACUUUCGCAACACUAACUAUCUAGAUCAGAUACUAGGUGAUCAAACAAGCAUACAUGCAAUAAGAACAAGAAUAAACAGAGAACAGGUCGAAAUCCCAGAUCUAUAAACCUAGAUGUCUUAAUCGAUUAUGAGAGCCCCUUUCGGGAACCCUAAGCCCAACUCGGGAUCAACUCAGACAUGGCUGAGUUCGACAUCAUCAUUGGUUUUAAUAAAAGUAAUGAAAAAAAGUAAAGAAAAGAGAUAAAGAAAGCUUCUCUAUUGAAGAACUCGGACUUGAACAAUCUUCUACAAAAAUCUCAUAAAAACGGCUAAAGGAAAAGGGUUUAUGUAAAGUAUGAAGGGUUCUCCUUAAAAACGACCUAAAUGACAUGUAUUUAUAGUCUCCAAUACUCCAUGGUCUCUAGGGUUCCAGAAUUGAGGCUGAGAAUGACUUUGGGCUUCAGAUAAGUGGGCUUUAACUCGGAGAUUGAUUGCCGCAGUCGGGAGUGUUGUGACCGCGGCAAUUGGCUUGUUGGUCGCGGUCGGGAAGCUUCUGACCGUGGCAAAUAGCUUGUUGGCCGCGGUCGGGUGAGUUGUUGACCGACUUCGAAUGGCUCCGGGGCUAAUGAAAUAUCUUGAGAUCCAACCGUUGGAAUGUCUCCAAACCAAGUGCAUCUGAAAGCUGGUUGAUUCUUCUAUAAGUUGUCUAAUUUUGAGGGUGAUCAGACGGUGAGAAGGUCUUCGUCUCUCCAUGAGAGUUCUGACGGUCUGCAUUUAUCCAAAAUAGUUUUUUUGUUCCAUUUUGUGCCUCUUUAUCCCAAAUUACCUGAAAAGUCUUUUAAAAUCCGGAAACAUAGAAAUCCUUUGAAAACCUUUGAAAAUGGAGUAAAACCACCUGUAAAAGAUAUUAAAAUGAUCCAUAAAAAUGGUCAAAAUCCGGUGUUAUCACCUUUAAGCCAAUCAAGCAGAAAAGAAGAAAGCUCGGCCCCAAACGAGCUAAAGCAGUUAACGACGAAGUCGAGAGAUUACUCAAAGUAGGAUCAAUCGCCGAGGCCAAAUAUCCGGACUGGCUCGCGAAUCCGGUGGUCGUGAAGAAGAAGAACGGCAAGUGGCGGGUCUGUGUGGAUUUCACUGACCUCAACAAGGCGUGCCCAAAAGACAGUUUUCCCUUGCCACACAUCGACCGGCUUGUCGAAGCCACUGCAGGAAAUAGAUUGUUAACAUUUAUGGACGCGUUCUCUGGCUACAAUCAGAUCCUGAUGCAUCCUGAUGAUUGGGAAAAAACGGCAUUUAUAACUGAUCGCGGGAUAUACUGCUACAAAGUCAUGUUGUUCGGGCUCAAGAACGCGGGAGCAACAUAUCAACGGCUCGUCAAUAAAAUGUUCGCGGCUCAGCUCGGAAAAACCAUGGAGGUAUACAUUGACAACAUGUUAGUCAAAUCACUCAAGGAGGAAGACCACGUCGCGCAUCUACGGGAAUGCUUCGAGCAAUUGAACAAGCACAACAUGAAACUAAACCCGGCAAAGUGCAGAUUUGCGGUCACCUCGGGAGAAUUCCUCGGCUAUCUGGUAACUCACUGAGGCAUAAAAGCAAACCCCAAGCAGAUCAAGGCAUUAAUCGAGAUGCCCUCUCCAAGGACGAAGCACGAAGUGCAAAAGCACACAGGAAGGGUCGCCGCGCUAAACAGGUUUAUUUCCCGUUCUACCGACAAGUGCCUGCCUUUCCACGACACCCUUCGGGGAAACAAGAAAUUCGAGUGGGACGAGCGAUGCGAAGCAGCUUUCCAAGAGUUGAAGAAUUAUCUGGCGAGUCCACCGAUCUUAGCAAAACCAGUCGAAGGAGAGCCGCUCUUCCUCUACAUCGCCGUAUCUGCUACAGCUGUGAGUGGAGUGCUUAUCAGAGAAGAACGACCCGAGCAAAAACCCAUUUUCUACAUCAGCCAGACACUGACCGACGCCGAGACCCGCUACCCCCAGAUCGAGAAGGUCGCCUUAGCCGUCGUAGUCUCGGCUCGCAAACUGCGCCCGUAUUUUCAACCACAUUCAAUUGUUGUGCUCGCUACACUUCUGCUGCGCUCGAUCCUACACAGCCCGAGCCAAUCCGGUCGGCUCGCCAAGUGGGCCAUAGACUGAGCGAAUACGACAUCGAGUAUCGGAACGGGUCGUCUGCAAAGUCACAGGUGCUCGCAGAUUUUCUCAUCGAACUUCCAGCCGAAGCAACGAACGAGCCAACCCCGGACGAAGUAUGGACGCUGCACGUCGACGGCUCGUCAUCUAAACACGGCUCAGGAAUAGGAAUCCGCCUCACCUCUCCCACAGGAGAGAUACUGGAGCAGUCGUUUCGCCUAAACUUCCACGCCUCGAACAACGAAGCAGAAUACGAAGCAGAAUACGAAGCACUGAUCGCCGGUGUACGACUAGCGCAAAGAAUUGGAGUUCAAAAGAUAAUAACCUUUUGCGAUUCACAGCUCGUAGCAUGCCAGUUCAACGGAGAGUACGAGGUGAAAGAUGGACGAAUGGGAGCUUACCUCAACGUGGUCCGAGAGUUGGUGCAGAAGUUCGACGAGUUCGAGCUCACACAAAUUCCCCAAGGAGAAAACACCUCGGCUGACGCCUUGGCAGCACUCGCCUCGACCUCAGACCCAGACCUCCGACGGACGAUUCCAGUUGAAUUCAUCGAACGUCCUAGCAUCGAAGAGGUAGAAAGAGUUCGGCUGAUAAAUCCUCCCGAACAAGAACCGGAAGACGACAAAGCCAUUCCUAUGGACGAAGACGCCCUACCAGCCGAGCCGGAGUACGGCUGCAACAAAAAAUGGCUCGGAGCUAUCCGAGUAUAUAUCGCCGAUGGAGAAGUCCCAACCGACAAGUGGGAAGCCCGCAAAUUAAAAGCAUAGGCCACGCGGUAUGUCCUUGUCGACGGAGAGGUGUUUAAAUGGAGAUUUUCAGGACCUCUCAUGACAUGCGUCGAAGGACCGGAGGCAAGAAAGAUCAUGCACGAACUGCACAGCGAAGCGUGCGGAAACCAUUCUAGCGGAACGUCGCUCGCUAUCAAGAUAAAACGGCACGGUUACUUCUGGCCUACGAUGGUCAAGGACUGCGAAACAUUUACGGCAAAGUGCGAGAAGUGUCAACGGCACGCUCCAACAAUUCAUCAACCUACCGAGCUGCUCUCAUCAAUUUCGUCAUCUUACCCGUUCAUGAGAUGGUCGAUGGACAUCGUCGGACCUCUACAUCGAUCGAAGCAGAAGCGCUUUCUGCUCGUCCUCACGGGUUAUUUUUCCAAGUGGGUCGAGGCUGAUUCCUACGCAAGCAUAAAGGAUGUUCAAGUCGAACACUUCGUAUGGAAAAAUAUCAUCUGCAGACACGGGUCCCCUACGAGAUAGUCACCGACAACGGAUCCCAGUUCAUCUCGACGCGUUUUGAAGCCUUCUGCGAGAAGUGGAAAAUCCGUCUAAGCAAAUCUACACCAAGAUACCCUCAAGGGAACGGACAAGCUGAAGCAGCCAACAAGACAAUCCUAGACGGUCUGAAAAAGAGGCUCGACGCCAAGAAAGGACGAUGGGCAGACGAACUCGAAGGAGUCCUUUGGUCGCAUCGAACGACCCCGCGCCGAGCCACCGGAGAAACUCCAUUCGCUUUGGUCUACGGAGCGGAAUGCGUAAUUCCCCCCCGAGGUGGACUUCCCAGGUAUUCGACGAAGACUUCUACCAGGACAUGAGGGCUUAAACCACUUAAUGAUGCUAGAUGAGCUCGAUCUAAUCAACGAAAGGCGUGACCAGGCUUUAGUCCGAAUCCAGAACUAUCAACAAGCAACGGCGAGGUACUUCAACAAAAACGUUCGUAGUCGAAGAUUCAAAGAAGGAGAGCUCGUCCUUCGAAAGAUUUUCCAAAACACUGCCGAGAAGAAUGCAGGAAAGCUCGGAGCAAACUGGGAAGGUCCUUACAAGAUUACAAAAGUAGUUCGCGCAGGAGUCUACGAACUCGCAACCCUAGCUGACGAAGCGAUUCCAAGAUAAUGGAACGCAAUGCAUCUAAAGAAGUAUUAUCACUAAAGCUACAGUACGGUCAACAUGAACUACGGGACGGCUUGAUCCCUGCAAAGGGUACGUAGGCAGCCCGUCCUCGGACGGAUUCAGCUGUCCCCCCUCCUAAAAAGGGGGGGGGGGGAGUGGGUACGUAUACACAUACUUUCAUUUAACUCUACAAUUUUAGCUCACCUACCUAGGAACAUUGCCACUUCGGCACAUUUUCAGUUCGUUUUAAGUUAUCUACUUAUUUCAUGUUCACCUCGGAAUUCUAGUUCGUUCAUUAUCGCUUCGGCUAGUUUCUCAUUCUUUUAAAUCAGCAGCUUAUUUCAUAAUUCGCCUCGGAUUCUUUAAUUCGUUCACCCAUCACUUUGACAUGUUAUCAUGACUUAAUCGUCUCAGACCUUUUACUUGCCUUCACUUUCAGUUCGACAAAUUAAGUCUCCAGACGCCUCGUCUCGUUGCUGGCCACAACGGGACAACGGAUACAAAGUUCUCUAAACGGACUUUUACCACCUUUCUUAGGACGAGGGUGCAAGUUACAUCCUCUAUGAAUAAAAUUAAAGCGCGCUAUACAAAUAUCAGACCAAAAACGUAUCGGUCGCCACAGUUUACUAUCGCACACAGAUUAUAAGUCGAGACUACAUCGCUUUCUCUAAAACCGAAGUGAACUCUUAAAACCCGGCAAAACACACUCAUCCUCUCGGAAACGCCGGUCUAUGGUCAUAUUCAACGAGACUACUAUAUCCUCUUGAUCUUUCGCCUCGUCAAUGAGAAAACACAUAACUUACCUGAUAAAUACUUCGGCUUCUUUCUCAAAACAAUCUUAUAACAGCUCACCUCAAUGCGGACCUCUCUCAGUGACAGAAUGGAUAAACCCCAAAUCAUUUUUGGUUAAUAAAAACAAAACGCCUCGUCGUUUACACGGCUCGGCAUCAUGCAAAGAAAAACGCCUCGUCGUUGAACACGGCUCGGCAUUACCAACAAAAGUUGCCUGGAUAUUAUCACUUAACACUUUUUAGCGUCACCUAAAACAAAAGACGCUCCACAAACCAACUCCCAGCUCGGGAUUCAGAACUCAAACGGGAUCCUGAACAACUCACCCCUUAGCCCGUAUUUCUAUCAAUUUCAAAGAAUUCGGCUAGAAAAGCAAUCGAGAUCAUUCUCGACACAGCUCGAUAAGCCAAUCGGUGACAACUCUUUCCAAACAAACAGUUUUUGUAAACAUUUUCACGGAUCGUCAAGGACAAACGAAUCAAAUCCGAAAACGGCUAAGGAAAAGAUAAUAUAACCAAAUGGAAAAAUAACAGUCAGGUGGAUAAAGCCAUCCAGGCACCGGUUUCACAAGAUUUCAAGAAGCAGAUAACAUCACCUAAAAUCCUAAGUACAAAAGCAUGUGAGACGAAAAGAUAGGAGAAAGCGGAGAGGAUCAGGCCGCAGACUGCGUUUCACACUCGGCAAGGAGGUUCGAGAGGGCCGGCGUCUCCGCAUUCGAUCCGGUCGGAUCUACGACGCCCAGGUUGGCCGCUGUCUCCUCGAGCGGCUCGUUACCGAGACUGGUGUCCACCUAGUCCGGCGAUACGGGCGAAAAAACCAGGUUACCUCGAAUCUCAGAGGCAAUGCGCUCAUACGCCUCGUCGUCGGCGUACUUGCUCUCCCAGCUCUUCAGCUUCGCCUCCUCGUCAUCGAGCGUUGGGGCGUCCAGUUUCAUCAGGUCGGCAAUCAUCGCAAGAUUGCCCUUGAUCUGCCCCAGCUCGUUCUUGUCGGUUUUGGCCUUCUCGAGCUUGGCCAAACCUUCCUUUACCUUGGCGAGGCGUUCCUGAAACUUAUCCUUUGCCUCGAUACGCUUUUUGAGCAACGCCACCUCGGCGCUUUUAGCUCUCCUAGCCUCCUCCAGGCAAAUAGCCGAGGCGGAGACCUUGUCAAUAUUGGUGCAGAGAACUAUCUUCUCCUCUUCCAGCCUGGACACCCUGGUCAUCGCCUCGUCCAGCUUCCCCUUUGCCAACGCGGUCUCGUUCGGAGCCUCGUCCAAGCGACGUUCAACCUUAGACAGGUCCGUCUCGUAUUCAGCCAUCAGCUCGUUGAUGGUCGCUACAAACUGCAAGGAAUAAUGCGCGUUAAACACUUGGUACCACGCUGUGCCAUCGCGCCGUACGACCUCGGUCUCCUCAGCUUUUCUGGAGGAGGAAGACGCGUGUUCGCAUUAUUAACGCGCGCGAACAUUACUGCCGAGGCGUCAGGGUCGUCAACGACCAGUUUGCGCGCAGCGUGAUCACCGGGAGUCGACUUGCGCUUCUUCUUGGACGGCUCAUCUUUUGGAUAGCAACGCCCGCUGAACGUUUCCGGCUAGGGUCGUGCUUACGUACAACCGAGGUCGGGGGCCUCGAUGACUUCGGGAGAGCCAGAAUAGCGGAAUUUGAAGGAGUUUUACUCCGCGCCGCCGAGUCAUCUUUGGACGCCUCGGGAAUAAUCUCGCCCGGUUCCACCUCGGGCGCUGUUUCUUUUUCGGCCGCCUCGGCAACGUUCGCCUCCGUGGCUCGGACCGUGUCGUCACCUUCACGGCUCGGCGGAUCGGUCUGAGGGAUAGCCUCGGUCUCUGUUUGAGCCGCCUCGGCGGCUCGUCUCGCGGCUUCUUCCUCUUCACGCCUCUUCUUAUCUCUGAGAGUAAUGAUCACCAUUUUCUCUCUGGUAUCUCUUGAGGAGCUGGAAGAUGAAGAGCUAACAGGGACUCCGGCAAGAAUAGCUCGCGCUUUUUCUACUCUCUCAAGUGUGAAAUUCUUCCUCCAGUUAAGCUUCCGAGCCGAAAGGGAGUCUCGAACAAUAAAGAGGUCGUCGGGAAUCGGGGAAAGAAUAUUCCGAACUGCAAAAACAACGCAAAAAGAAAAAAGAUUCAGUAAGGGAAAAUGCAAAAAAAACAGUUCCGAGCCGAGGCAAAGCUUCGGAUCGGCUACCAAGUGUCCCCAAGCGGUCUUGGUUUUUUUAAUGUAAUCCUCGCCGACCGACGCCUCGUUCACCAAGACAUAGAAGAAGCGUUCGGUCCAAAACUGAAACUUGCUUGGAAAACCACCUAUAAUCCGGCGAUUGGACUUGUUAGAAAUAUAGAAUCUAUCUCCCUUCGGAGCUUUCCUGAUUUUCAGCAAGUUCAGUGAUGUGCUCGUGUCAACUACGUGAGGGAACAAGUUUUACCCUUAACAGGACAAAUGAAAGCCGCAAGUGCACAGCUAAUCAGUUAUAGUAUUUAGGGAUCGAAUCCACAGAGAUUUGUGUGCCUGGUAUUCUUCUACGGUUUUUUAACUUUAUGUCUAGACUAAAUUAGUUUUUAAGGUUGGUUGUUUUUCUUGCGAAUUAAACUAAAACAAAAGAAAGCAAAUAAAUCUAUCCUAAAAAACAGGUAAGAAAAUCGAAUGAAAUGCAAUUAGAAUAGGCAAAUAUCGAAUGAAAGACUAAUAAGGCAAGUAAGAUAUCGCAUGAAAAGUAAAUAAAGCAAGUAAAUAAUGAACUAAGGAAAUUGAAAUGCAGGUCUAAAAAAAGGCAAGUAAAAAUUGAUGGAAUUGUAAACUAUGGCUAAAAACGCUGAGCUUUUGGGAACUCUAAGGGAUCAUAAUCGGUUUUAACACUAAGGUAGAUAGAUUGGGAUUGACAGAUAACGAUAUAUGGGUUCUAGAGCUAGAGUACGGCGGUAUGACUACGUCACUGUCGUGAUCAUAACCAACUGCUUCUCGCAACCCUGACCAGUAGGUUUCCACUCUGGCCCUGGAAGGGAGAGAACGCAAGAGCUGCACAAGACUCGUCAAUACUCACGAUCUCGCCGCAGGUAGGUUUCCACUCCUACGGAAAAAUCGCCUGUUUCAUUCUAGGGCUGAUACUUAAUGAAAACUUUCGCAACACUAACUAUCUAGAUCAGAUACUAGGUGAUCAAUCAAGCAUACAUGCAAUAAGAACAAGAAUAAACAGAGAACAGGUCGAAAUCCCAGAUCUAUAAACCUAGAUGUCUUAAUCGAUUAUGAGAUCCCCUUUCGGGAACCCUAAGCCCAACUCGGGAUCUACUCAGACAUGGCUGAGUUCGACAUCAUCAUUGGUUUUAAUAAAAGUAAUGAAAAACAGUAAAGAAAAGAGAUAAAGAAAGCUUCUCUAUUGAAGAACUCGGACUUGAACAAUCUUCUACAAAAAUCUCAUAAAAAGGGCUAAAGGAAAAGGGUUUCUGUAAAAUAUGAAGGGUUCUCCUUAAAAACGACCUAAAUGACAUGUAUUUAUAGUCUCCAAUACUCCAUGGUCUCUAGGGUUCCAGAAUUGAGGCUGAGAAUGACUUUGGGCUUCAGAUAAGUGGGCUUUAACUCGGAGAUUGAUUGCCGCGGUCGGGAGUGUUGUGACCGCAGCAAUUGGCUUGUUGGCCGCGGUCGGGAAGCUUCUGACCGCGGCAAAUAGCUUGUUGGCCGCGGUCGGGUGAGUUGCUGACCGACUUCGAAUGGCUCCGGGGAUAAUGAAAUAUCUUGAGAUCCAACCGUUGGAAUGUCUCCAAACCAAGUGCAUUUGAAAGCUGGUUGAUUCUUCUAUAAGUUGUCCAAUGUUGAGGGUGAUCAGACGGUGAGAAGGUCUUCGUCUCUCCAUGAGAGUUCUGACGGUCUGCAUUUAUCCAAAAGAGUCUUUUUGUUCCAUUUUGUGCCUCUUUAUCCCAAAUUACCUGAAAAGUCUUUUAAAAUCUGGAAACAUAGAAAUCCUUUGAAAACCUUUGAAAAUGGAGUAAAAACACCUGUAAAAGAUAUUAAAAUAAUCCAUAAAAAUGGUCAAAAUCCGGUGUUAUCAUUCAGCAGGUGAUUCAGUUCGAUAUCAAGCCUGCACUCAAAGCUUCGAACCAAAAUGCCAAUCAUAUGCCGUAGACCCCUCGGCAUGAUCUGCCUAAUUGAGAUCCCAUGUUUCCAGAGGUAUUCAAGGAUAACUCCAGGGAUCGGGAACCAGAGAAAUCAAAGCUCGAAGAACGCCUCGUACAGAGUGAAGUGAUUCUCGGGAGGCUUGUCGUCUCGGUCGUUCUUAUCUGGAACGAUAAACUCCACCGCCUCGGAUAUCUCGAAACAACGCCUGAACGCCUCGAGUGAGUCAGGGGAGGAAUGCGUAGAACCAGGCGGGUCAGGUUUUUGUCUUUUCACCCGUUGCCUUCGCCCAGAUGAAGAAGCGCCUCAGGACGCCAUGAAACGUUCUAAUUCAUGCUUUGCCUCGAACAGAUCAAAGGGAAACGCCUCCUCCUCGGCUUUUACUGCAGCACGAUUAACGUCUUCGUCAAGAGCGGGACCCUGAGGCUGGCUCGUCGAAACCGACGGCUCGUCAUCUAGAGAGCGGGCGCCUGACGGAUUUGAAUGAUUCGACGCCUCGUCGCUUUCAGGUGAACGGUUGGAAGGGCUCGGCGAAAUGGAUGCCUCGGAAGAUUCUGUUGCACUUCUCGCCUCGGCAUUUACAUGGCUCGGUUCGUAGUUAAAAAGCGAAUCCAACGAAUCAUCAGAACGGUUCGACAUGAUUUACAGAUUAUACGGGAAUUACAAGGUUACACGGCGAACUUCCAUCGGAAAAAGAUCUAGAGCGGCGGAGACCUCAGAACCCUAGACGGAAAAUAAAUAAACAAGACAGAGAAAGAAGAGAGAAGGGAGAGCUACCUUUUAGUGAAAACGAGUGGAUCUGAAGAUUAUGAGAAGGAACAAAAGAGCUCACCUAUUUAUAGAAAAACCGAAGCGCGUGGGUUAUGUGUGAACCUCGGGAGACCGUCCAACAGCGCGUGGGAUCCGCGGCGUAUUAACUAGCUCCAACUGCGUCGGUUACACGCGCCAAUAAAUCAGGAAAAUUCUUUCGGAAGACCAACGGUUGGGAUACCUGAGUUUUCAGCCGACAUCUCGCCACAGUAAACGCCUCGUCGUUAACAAAACGGCUCGGCAUUAACUUUUUCUUGAAACGCCUCAUCGUUAUCAAAAUGGCUCGGCAUGACUUUCUCAAAAACGCCUCGUCAUUUAUUCGGCUCGGCAUGACCUUCUCAAAAACGCCUCGUCGUUUAUUCGGCUCGGCAUAAUAUUCACAAGUCGCCUCGCGUACAACCCUCUUCUAAGGAUAUCUUCCCAAACAGCAUAGACCGCGCCACGCCUCGUCGUUAAACUCGAAUCACGGCUCGGCAUUAUCAACACAAACGCCUCGUCGUUAAACUUGAAUCACGGCUCGGCAUUAUCAACGUAAACGCCUCGUCGUUAAACUAGAAUCACGCCUCGGUAUCCUUGACACCCUCUGGGAAUGCCUCGGCACUUUUUCGAAAAAGCGUCUCAUCACUAACGAGGCGGCUCGGCACAUUCUUCACAUAACCUCGCCAAAACGGCUCGCUACUACACACUGUCGAAGGGCGGCUCGGCAUCUUUAUUUCCAAAACGCCUCACUUGGGACUGUGUCGCAACAGCUCGACUCGAUGGUCUAUCCUAUGAACCUCGUCACUCUCGCCUCCGAAACUGACGAGCUGGGGGGCUAACUGUUGGGGUCGGUUUCACCCUAAUCGGUUUAAACCAUCUCAAUAACAUUGGAGAGCCGAUUCCGACAAGGAGAACCGGUGACCUGUCAAAAAUGGGCCGAGCCCCACAGAAGAAGGCCAAGCUCAAGUGGGCCGAGCCGUGAGGUGAAAAUGGGUGAGCCGCGUAUGAGAGCAGACGGGCCGAGCUGUGUCGUGAGGUAUGGGCCGAGCCGCACUUCAACAUGAUUGGACCGAGCCGCGCCUCACGAGUUAGGCCAAGUCACGUCUCAACUCGAAUGGCAAGUGGGCCGAGCCAUGGAGAAGGUUAGAUGGGCCGAGCUGUGAGAAGAACGGUGAGCGGGCCUAGCAGCGUGAGAGGAGGCAUGGGCCGAAUCGCUUCCCUGUGUGUUGGGCCGAGCCGGUUUUCCAAGAUGGGCCGAACCAAGGCUUUAGAAGACGAAAGCCCACAGAAGCCCUAGGUGAAGUAUUAUGACGGUGGCCGCACGAAGCGAUAAGGAAAUAUACCUAAAAUCUCUCCCAAGAUUCUCGGGAGAGGCGGUUUAAGAAGUUAGUAUAAAUAGGAGAUUUUUACGAUUCAUUAUGUAACUUUUGCCACCCUAAGCAAUAAGACCUAAACACUUUAACAGCAAUAAAAAUCCUCUUUUGAUCUUACUGUUCUUGCGAUUACCCUAGAUGUUUCGGAUCCCUUAGUUUUUCCCUUACAAAUUUUUGGUUGUGCGAGUUUUGGCUCACACAGGUAUCAGAGCUAAAUCGAUCUCUAGGAUUAUGGUUAUUUUCUUAUUAGAUUAGGAGAUAUCUAGUUUUAAUAGGAAAAGGAAAGUGGCUUAGCAAAGUUGUGCAAACCACUAUAUAUAUGUAAGUCAUUGAUGAUGUUGCAUCUAAGAGUAUUCGGAUGCAUCAGUUUUGCAAAGACAGAGGCUCAACACUUGAAGAAGCUGGAUGAUAGAUCACGAGUACUUGUUCACUUAGGAACGAAACCAGGAUCAAAACCAAGAAAAUAGUUGUGAGCAGGGAUGUGAUCUUUGAUGAAAGCAAAGGCUGGAAGUGGGGUGAGAAGGAAAUCAGUAACAACACUGGAAUUUCUAUAAUCAGUUUUGGAGAACACAAUUAUAAUAACUCAAGGGGAGAUGACCAUGAUCUCGAAGAAGAAACAGAGGAAAAGGAGGAAGAGAGUUCCGAAGAAGAGGUCACUGAGCAUGAAAUACAAGUUCCCAAACCCGAGACAGAGAUGAUAUAUCAAGGAGAAGAAGUUGAACAAGGACUAAGGAGAUCAACAAGGUCAAGAGUAAGCCCGAGUUAUCUCGAUGACUUUGUCACUUUAGCCAAGAUUGAUAGUGAACACCUAUUGCUACUUAUAAACGAAGAGCCAUGGGAUUGCAAUGAGCAAAAGGCUGAUAUCUUAACCAAGGCACUAGGAAGAAACAAGUUCAAGGAGAUGAGAUAUCUCAUUGGAGUUCUAGGUGUGUCACAAAAGGAUUUCAAGCUUAAGGGGGAGAAUGUUGGAAUAAGCUUGAAAGAAACUUGAAGUGCAACUUUCCUAAUCCUAAUCAAAGUGUGUUUUCUAGAAGGUUAGGAUUAGAAAAGGAAAUUUAGGAGUUAUCUAAAAAGGAAAUUUGUUUCUCUAUUGAAAUUAGGAGUUAUCUAUUCCAUUCUCUAUAUAAGAGUUGCAAAAUUUGUGGUAGACAUUAUGAGUUGAGAGAGUGAUUAAGAGAGACUUUAGUUUUUGAGUGAUUUUUAAACAAUGGAGAUACCAGGUAAUUAAUCUGGUAUCCCUUUCUCUCUGUUUGAAUGUUCAAACAAUUAUCUGGAGCUUCCCCAGAGCUUAUAAACAGGCUAGUACCAGAGCACGUUAGGCGACAGAUGAGUGGAGGCUUUCCAUUUCAAGCUGCUCCGUAUAAACGACUUCGAAACCAAGAUGCUUUGUUCUUGGUAGAUAAGCCCAUCAAGCUUUUGCUUGGGGAUGUAGAAUUUCAAUUAUUUUAGGGGCCAUUUAGUAUAAAUAUUAGUUGGUUAAGAUGGUGCAGUGAUCUAUGAAAAAAGUGUUUAUUUGUCAUUGUAUUUGGCAUAUUUUAUUUUUAAUCAACAUUAUAUUAUAGAAAUAACUUUUCUUAAACAAUUUAAAAUAAAACAAAUGAAACAAAAACUACAAAACUCCAUCGUCCACUUUACUGUUCGCAUCUACUAUUCAAAAUAAAGAAAAUAACAUAUAUAUUCUAAGUGGAGGUUAUUGGGGAUAAAACGUUUCCUAAUUUUAGUAACAACUAAUAGCAUUUGCAGAUUUUUGCAAGAAAAAAGAAGUUAAAUCCAUUUCUGAAUUGGAAAAAAGGUUUGAAAAUUUCUCAAAACAGAAAGAAAAGAAAAUAGUUAUAAAAAAAAAAGCAUAUAUGUAUUUCCAUUCCUAGACGAUUCUUUACCGAUCUUGCGUGGUGAAAAAAGUAAUACUCAUAUUUUUUCUAUGUUUGGUGUUGAAGAGAUUUUCCAAUAAUCUAUUAUAAAAGAUAAACUUACUAUUACGAAAGAAAAAUUAGGAAAAAAAAUCUGUAUAUACAUUGUUCACUCGAGCUAAAACUAUAGAAACUAAUGAAUAAUUCAACAAAAUCAGGAUUCUUUCUAGUAAUGAUGAAACUUAUUACAAAUAAGAAAGAGUACAAAUAUAUGUGAUCCCAGCUUACAAUGAACCUGCUCCCUACUUAGCAAAAACAAAACUUUUCCAACAAUGUUUUCUAUUCUAGUUGUAUUUAUUCCCCUAUCUGGUUAACCCCUCUACUUCAUUGUGACUUUGUAUGUUCUUCACUUUCUGGUCAAUAUAGAUAUGCUUCUUGUACAAUUACAUGUAAUCCCAGUUUCCCACUCCGAAACCAAACUUUCCCACAUAAGGUCAGCAAUCUAAAAUCUUAUAUAAACCAUCAUAAACAUAAACUUUAGAGCUAACACUGUUUUCAUACUUAAACCCUCUAACCACCCGUACCUCAAUAUCAUGGUACAUACUCCUCUCUAUUGCUAGAUUCCCACUUUCUAGAGCUUCUGAUGUUGAAUCUGCCUGUGGAGCUUAUCUUGACCACCGUGAUCUACCAGAACAUCUCCAUGUGUCUUCAUCAUCCUCGUAAUUACCUGAGACGAUAAUGCUGGUGGCUAUUGGUUCAUCUCCUGUGUAAGCCCACCAAGAACAGUUUCAUGACGGUAAAAUAAGACGUCGCUGAUCUCAACCCGAAGGGAUGGAACCCACUAAGUAUUUAUCCUGGGGUUGAGAUCGGUCGACGUGUUCUUUUACCGUCAUGAACUGUGCUUGGUGGGCUUACACAGCCAGCUACAACGUAGCUCCAAAGGUGAACCGAUAGUCAUCAGCAUUGUCAUCUUGGUAAUUACGAGGAUGAUGAAGACAUACGUGGCUUGUUACAUUAGUCCCAGAAAAGAACCAAAUGUUCUUUCUACAUCUCUUAUCAUAUAAGUCUUAUUGUCUGUUCUUUCUCUCUCUCUGUUUUGCUCCUAUGGCAUUUUUGUCUUGCUUUAGCUUGGGGUAAUAUCUCGAAUCAAUGUUCUUGUUACUCCCCUUCUCUUAUCAUAGGAAACUCAUUGUCUGUACCAUUUUCUAGUUCACAUGCCAAAGUCUUACCGUUUUAGAGUUUUCCUUAAACGCAAUCAUUUUGUAUUCUCUCUCUCUCCGUUUUGCUCAUAUGGCAUUAAUCUGUUGCAAAAAUGAUGCAGAUGAAGAAUAUUUUGACAAAACAUAAACCUUUCUCUGCUCGUUCGCUGUUCUGUCUUUCCUUCUCUCUACGAUAUCUGCAAGGCAAGAUAAAUGUUCUUUCUACUUCUCUUAUCAUAGGAGUCUCAUUGUCUGUUCUUGCAUGCCCACAUGCCGAAGUCUUAAUAUAUUUGAGUAUUUUCGAAGUUUGUUUGGUUGCUCAAUUAAACCAAUCGCAUUCAGUGAAGAAUUAAUGUGGAUUCCAUUUUCUAAACCAGACCCAUUUAUUGUGAUAGAUAAUACAUAUUUGGUAAGUUACAAACAAUAGAGAUGAAAAUUGCCCUAAGUAAAAAGGAAGAAGAAAUUAAAUAUCUAUCACACUACAAGACAUGUUUGGACCACACAAAAACUCAGGGUUUAAUAGUUUGAUCGUGUGUGAUCAAACUAACAUAUUUUUGAUUUUUGUUUUACAUUUGAUUUAUUUUGUGUGGUAUCAACCAAUGUUCUAUUUGUUUUACAAAGAACGAUAGGAGUCUCUUCCAAAAUUUCAUUCUACAUUUCAUAAUUCUUAUUGCAAAAGUUCACGAUAUCUUUUUUUGUUUGUCAUUCAUUUUAAUUUCUAGGCUGAGCUCAAAAUUUCUCGAAAAAUUUGUUGUAACAGUAUGGAGGCAGAAGCUACAACUCUUCUUUGGAUCAUGAUAUGUUUGGAUAAUCUUGGCUAUGAAGAGGUAAUUUCCGAGAGUGAUUCAAAGAUAUUGGAGAAAGCGGUAUAAGCUGAACCUCGAGAAUGGUCAAGGUUUAUAGUCUAUACCUGAGAAAUCAACAAGACAAGAAAAAUAUUAAUUCGACCAACCAUCACUUUCCAAGGAAGACGAGCAAACUAAUGUGUUGAUCUUACAGCCAAUAAAACCUCUUCAUAUGAAGUUCAUUAUGCAUUCUUGAUUAUAUUGUACGUACUCUUUGGUUGAGAAGGAGAAACGAAUUUAUAUGAAAUAUGUUUGAGCUCGAAAAAAUAAGAAAAAUAUGGCAUUAUGUUAAGGAAUGAUGAUAACUCUCCGAAAUUAACAGCAACAAAAAAAUGGAUGACAACUCCUCGUUUACUGGUUUGGAUUCUAUACUAUUACAUUUCGGUUAUUUUCUCAUUUUCACACUUUUCCAUUAUUUUAUAACAUGUUAUGAUGUCAAAAAGAAAUUACAACAUGAUAUAGUGAAAUACAAACGAUAUAACUAUUAAAGUAGCAUUAUUUUAUGGCAUUUUAAAUUUUUAAUUUUGGAUGAUGUUUACUUUUUUUAAUUAAUUUUAUUUCAAUUAGGUAUGUCUCAAGUGGUUAUUUAAAUUCUCUUUCGUUUCUAACAUAAAAUUUUGUUUUAUGUUUAUGAAACUUUUCGCCCGCGUAAAGCGCGGGCUAAAUACCUAGUUUAAUAUUUAAAAUGACACAAUCGUUUUACCAAAAUUUUUUACGUAUAGGAAAUGAUAAAAGAAAAACAUUUACUUGUAAAAUUUUAAAAAUAUAUACUAGAACAAAAAACCUGCUUGUACACGCAGGUGAUCAUCUAGUAGUUAUAAAAAUAGCAUAAUUGUAUGUAUUUCACACUCGUAGACAAUUCUUUACCGAUCUUGCGUAGUGAGAAAAAUAAUACUCAUACUAUUGUUUAUGUCUGGUGUUAAAAAGAUUUUCCAAUAAUUUAUUACAAAAAAAUAAAUUUAAUUUUCGAAAGAAAAAUUAGGAAAAAAUUUAUAUACAUGUUCAUUUGAAUUAAAACUAUGGAAACUAAUGAAGAAUUCAACAAAACCAGGAUUCUUUCUAGUAAUGAUGAAACUUAUUACAAAUAAGAAAGAGUACAAGUACAUGUAAUCUCAGUUUACAAUGAAUCUGCUCACUACUAAAAAAAAAAUGUUUUUUCCAACAAUGUCUUCUGAACCCUUUGAUCUGCUACUAUUAAUCCGAGAAGCAGAAACAUGUUUUCAGCCAAGUGAGAAUUCUUGAUUAUACCCACAUAUCUGCAUCUCCUAAAAUUGAGGUUCCAUACAUUUUCAUUGCUGGAUGCUUGUGAACGCAUACCAAGAUUUGGAUGCUCGUCGAGAGGUUGGGUCCUCUUCUAAAUCCAACACAGGUGAAUGGUUGAGAACUGGAGUGGAUGUUGUUGACUUAAGCAGCAGCAACAACAACAAUACAGAUAAAGCAAUCAAAAGACCAUUCUUGGAUUUGGGUGUCGUUUUUCCUACCAUCACCGUUAGCAACANNNNNNNNNNNNNNNNNNNNNNNNNNNNNNNNNNNNNNNNNNNNNNNNNNNNNNNNNNNNNNNNNNNNNNNNNNNNNNNNNNNNNNNNNNNNNNNNNNNNCUGAAAUCUUCGGUUUGGGGAUUGAGCCUGCUUAAGUCCGCAUUACACAAGCACAUGUAACAUCUCAGAAAAAUAACUUCAAAAUACGGCCAGCAGAUCAGCAGGAUACCGCUUUAUCGAUCUCCUUCACUUAACCGCGUAAUGAUUUUAAAGGCAUGGGGAGACAGUAAAAGCAAGAUUUGAACAUUAGAGUAUAUGUAUGGUUUCUGUUCCUCAGUUUACAUCAUCAGCAUCCACUCCAGUUCUCAACCAUCCACCUGUGUUGGAUUUAGAAGAGGAACCAACCAACCACUUAUAUCCAUUCUGCUCCUGGUGUCUUCCACAGAGAUGUGAAACUACAGAACCUUUUGGUAAGUUGAUCUUAUUGUGGGUUUGUCUUCGGUAACCAUUACUAGAUUGUAAUCCAUUUCUCUGGUGCGUUCUGUAGGUUGAUCCCCUCACUCAUCAGUGUAAGCUGUGUGAUUUUGGAAGUGCAAAAGUAUUGGUAAGGGUUUACCUUAUUUAUGUUGUUUUAUUAUUUUUCCACUGCUUAUGUGUUCUGUCUCAUGAAAUCAAUUGCACCUUAUUUGUUUUCAUGAUCUUUGCAACAUGUGACUAUUGACUUUAGGUGAAAGGUGAACCAAAUAUAUCAUAUAUCUGCUCUCGGUAUUACCGAGCUCCAGAACUCAUCUUUGGGGCCACAGAGUCUACAUCCUCCAUAGAUAUAUUGUCUGCUGGUUUUGUUUUGGCAGAGCUCCUUCUUGGUCAGGUUAGUGUAAACUAAUUUAUCCAUUAAGUAUCUUGAGAACUAAAGCAUCUCUCCAAUAUCUUUGACAAUCAUUUGAUAUUUAUUUAUCUUCAGCCGUUAUUCCCCCAAAAUUCUGUGGACCAGCUAGUGGAGAUCAUCCAGGUGAAGUCUCAUUUUGAUUUAGAGUUUACCUUGGCGUCAUUAUAGAAAAUUCCUAUAAUCUAAUAGAUUUUUCAUUAUGAUUAAAAUUUCGUUCUGUUUAGGUUCUUGGUACUCCAACUCAAGAAGAAAUCCGAUGCAUGAAUCCAAACUUUACAGACUUUAGGUUCCCACAAAUCAAAGCUCAUCCAUGGCAUAAGGUAUUUUAUAUGCAUGUUACGUUCUAACUUUUCUGAUCAUACAAUAGCUUAGUAGAAAAAUGAAAAGCUGAAACAAUACACAUACUACUUUAUGACCUCCAGGUUUUCUAAUAAGCGGAUGCCUCCAGAAGACAUUGACCUUGCAUCUCGGCUUCUUCAACAUUCAUCGAGCCUACGUUGCACUGCGGUCAGUAUCUCUAAACGACCAAGUAUUCUUAGUUGUUAGAGUGGUUCUCUCUGUUUGGACCUGCACUGUUUAAUGAUGCUGGGGCUUUUUAACUGACAUGUGUUAUGUUUCCGUGUCUAAAAAGCUCGAAGCAUGUGCUCAUCCAUUUUUCAAUGAACUACGUGAGCCCAAUGCUCGUCUUCCAAACGACCGACCUCUACCACCGUUGUUCAACUUCAAACAAGAGGUACGUUAGUCCACUUUCCUUAAACCAACCAUUCUUAAACCAAACCAUAACAGAUGUUAAGUUCAAACAGUUUCUUAAUCUUGUAUCUCUCUCUGUUUAAAUGUUAAAACAGUUAUCUGGAGCUUCCCCAGAGCUUAUAAACAGGUUAGUCCUAGAGCAUGUUAGGUGACAGAUGAGUGCAGGUCCAAACAGAGAGAACCAGGUUAGUACUAGAGCACUGUUCAAGCUGGUCUGUAGAAACAACUUCGAAACCAAGAUGUUUUGUUCUGGGUAAAAAAACCCAUCAAGCAUUUGCUUUGGGCACUAGAAUUUCAAUUAUUUUAGAGGCCAUUUUGUAUAAAUAUGAGUUGGUUAAUAUGGUGUAGUGGUCUAUGAAAAAUGUGUUUAUUUGUCAUUGUGUUUGGCAUAUUUUAUUUUUAAUCAGCAUUAUAAUUAUAUUAUAGAAUUAGCUUUUCUGAAACAACUUAAAACAGAACAAAUGAAAUAAAAACUAUAAAACUCCAUUGUCCAUCUUACUGUUUACAUCUACUAUUCAAAAUGAAGAAAAUAACCUAUAUAUUCUUAGGGGAGGUAUUUGGGGAUAACACGUUUUUUAAUUUGGAUAACGACUGAUAGCAUUUGCAGAUUUUUGCAAGAAAAAAGAAGUUAAAUAUAUUUCUGAAUUGGGAAAAAGGUUUAAAACAUUCUCAAAAAAAAAAGAAAAGAAAAUAGUUAUAAAAAAACAGCAUAUAUGUAUUUCCAUUCAUAGACGAUUCUUUACCUAUCUUGCGUGGUGAAAAAAUAAUACUCAUAUUUUUGUCUAUGUUUGGUGUUGAAGAGAUUUUCCAAUAAUCUAUUAUAAAAGAUAAACUUACUUUUACGGAAGAAAAUUUAGGAAAAAAAUCUAUAUAUACAUUGUUCACUCGAGCUAAAACUAUGGAAACUAUAAUGAAGAAUUCAACAAAAUCAUGAUUCUUUCUAGUAAUGAUGAAACUUAUUACAAAUAAGAAAGAGUACAAAUAUAUGUAAUUCCAGCUUAUAAUGAACUUGCUCACUAUUUAGCAAAAAAAACUUUUUCCAACAAUGUUUUCUAUUCUAGUUUUAUUUAUCUCCCUAUCUGGUUAAGCCCUCUACUUCAUUGUAUAUUCUUCACUUUCUGAUCAAUAUAUAUGCUUCUUGUACAGUUACAUGUAAUCCCAGUUUCCCACUCCAAAACCAAACUUCUCCACAUAAGGUCAGCAAUCUGAAAUCUUAUAUAAACCAUCAUAGACAUAAACCUUAGAGCUAACACUGUUCUCGUACAUAAACCCUCUAAUCACCCGUACCUCAAUAUCAUGGUACACUAAAUUCCCACUUUCUAGAGCUUCUAAUGUUGAAUCUGCCUGUGGAGCUUAUCUUGACCACCAUGACCUGUAUAAACCAGAACAUCUCUAUGUGUCUUCAUCAUCCUCGUAAUUACCUGAGACGACAAUGCUGGUGGCUAUGGGUUCAUCUCCUGUGUAAGCCCACCGAGCACAGUUCAUGACGGGCAAAGAAUUUGUUGUUAAUCACGAUUACAGCUUGUAAACUUUUUCAGGUUCCGUUCUCGGCACAAGUAGUACAAGUUGUGAAUAUUCUUUAAUCUAGAAUGAGACUGGAACACCUUAACUCCACAGCCUCUUAAUCCUAUGUGCACAAGAUUCGAUACGCAAUUACGUUAGCCUGUCACAUGUCGACGUUAUUAACUAUCAUAUUAGAAUUUAGCCAGGUUAUUCUAAUCUGGAAAUUUUUCGUAAUAUAUGAGUGUUGAUGCGGACCAUCUGAAAAUGUCUAUUUAAUCCCAUGUGGACGUCACACNNNNNNNNNNNNNNNNNNNNNNNNNNNNNNNNNNNNNNNNNNNNNNNNNNNNNNNNNNNNNNNNNNNNNNNNNNNNNNNNNNNNNNNNNNNNNNNNNNNNAUGAACUGUGCUCUCAGUGGGCUUACACAGCCAGCUACAACGUAGCUCCAAAGGUGAACUGAUGGCCACCAGAAUUGUGGUCUCAGGUAAUUUGAGGAUGAUGAAGACGUAUGUGGCUUGUUACAUUAGUCCCAGCAAAGAACCAAAUGUGAAGGCGCAUUUGGAGCUGUGUAAGCUAAAGCAUCCAGGAGAGAACUAUCUCGGUAAUAUUAGAGUGAUGAGAGUUUAGGAUUGGAAGAAUUGUAUUGAAUGUACAUAGUAGCUACAUUUAUAUAGAGAAUGAAUUAACCUAAUAAUCUAACUAAUAAACUCAUAUAAAGAUAUUUACAAAUCUCUAGAAUAUAUUCACAAUAUCUUCUUUUAUCAUAUGGAUCUUCUAGAUCCUUCUAUACGCCCCCUCAAGCUCAAUGUGUGAUGGAGCGAAGCGGAAUCAAUGGUUUGAGAUUGACUUCAGAUUGAUCAAGUAAGAGCUGGUGUAUUCUUUGGACUUUGUGGAAGACGUUGAAUGCACGUGCUGAACAAGCGGAUGGGAGGACAACAAACCAUGACAACGAGGCGACAAAGAUGCAAGAGAGAUGCGAUAUGAUUGCGGUGAAAGCCUCAAUAGCAUGAAGAACGGUGUUGACCAUGGCGGUUUUGAGCCAGUGGGAUGUGGCAGUGGAAACUGUGCUUGGGUGGAGAUAGGCUCGUGACUUAGUUUCUUGAGGAAGAAGAAAUAGAGUUUAUUUUCUUCCUUUUUAUGUUUUUUUUUAAUUUUUUUUAUUGAAAGAACACGAUGAAAACUUUUUUUAUAUAUAUGACUGAAAUCAAAAAUCAAAAAUUGGAACGAAAACUUGUAGAACAUGUUUUUUUUAAUAGAAUAAAAAAUACAACGAGAAACCAAAAAGAAAAAAAAAUAUAUAUAAAAUAUCUAAUUUUUAUUUUCUUUUGAAUGUAUCAAACCUAAUUAGAACGUAGAAAAAUAAAACCAACGCAGCCACUUAUUAUUUAUUUUUUUGUGAAUAAGAAAAAGAGACAGAUAGAGAUGGGAAGGGGAAACAGAGAGGAAGUAGACCAGCCAUUUGUGUAAGAAGAAGCAAAUGACGGUGAAAAAGAAGAAAUGUAGAGAGAAAAAGGAGUUUGAUCGUUAGAUCUAUAACUCGGAAACACUCUGGCUUAGAUUCAGAGGUCCAUGAUAUAAUUAAAUUUUAGAAGCACUUGGCUUAAGAAAAAAAAUGAAAAAGAAGUUUGAUCACCAGAUCAAAACUUUGGAGCAAACCUGCUAUGAUACCAUAUUAGAGUGAUGAGAGUUUAUGAUUGGAAUAAUUGUAUAUUGACUCACAUUGAUUGAAUGUACAUAGUAGAUACAUUUAUAUAGAGAAUGAAUUAACCUAAUAAUCUAACUAAUAAAAUCAUAUAAAGAUAUUUACAAAUCUCUAGAAUAUAUUCACAAUAUCUUCUUUGAUCAUAUGGAUCUUCUAGAUCCUUCUAUAAUCCGAGCUAAGCUUGGACUAUGGGUCAGCAGAUGAACUGAACGGGAAGCUCUUAAUCUGUAACUGAGUAGCUUCUAUAGCUUGUUUCUGUAUUUUUCUAUGUCUUUACCGAGAUAGCUCUCCGGGAUGCUUUAGCUUGAGGCAUUUUCUCAAAUCAAUGUUCUUUCUACAUCUCUUAUCAUAGGAGUCUCAUUGUCUGUAUUCUCUCUCUCUCUGUUUUGCUCCUAUGGCAUUUCUUUCUUGCUUUAGCUUGGGGUAAUAUCUCAAAUCAAUGUUCUUGCUACUCUCCAUCUCUUAUCAUAGGAGUCUCAUUGUUUGUACCAUUUGCUAGUUCACAUGCCAAAGUCUUACCGUUUUAGAGUUUUCCUUAAAUGCAAUCAAUUUUGUAUUCUCUCUCUCUCUCUGUUUUGCUCCUAUGGCAUUAAUCUGUUGCAACAAUGAUGCAGAUGGAGAAUACUUUGACAAAUUAACAUAAACCUUUCUCUGUUAGUUCGCUGUUCUGUUUUUCCUUCUCUCUUCGAUAUCUGCAAGGCAAGAUAAAUGUUUUUUCUACAUCUCUUAUUAUAGGAGUCUCAUUGUCUGUACUUGCAUGCUCACAUGCCAAAGUCUUGCCAUAUUUGAGUAUUUCCGAAAUUUGUUUUGUUGCUAAAUUAAACCAAUCACAUGAUUCAGUGAAGAAUUAAGGUAGAUUCCAUUUUAUAAACCAGACCAAUUUAUUGUGAUAGAUAAUACAUAUUUGGAAAGUUACAAAUAAAAGAAAUGAAAAUUGCCCCAAGAAAAAAAGAAGAAGAAAUGAAAUAUCUAUCACACUACAACAAGACAUGUUUGGACCACACACAAACUCAAGUGUAAUUUAAUCGUGUGUGAUAACUAACAUCUUUUUAAUUAUUUUUGCUUUUACAUUUGAUCUAUAUUGUGUGGUAUCAACCAAAUGUUUUAUUUGUUUUACAAAAACCGAUAUGAGUCUCUUCCAAAAUUUCAUUCUACAUUUCAUAAUUCUUAUUGUAAAAGUUCACGAUAUCUAUUUUUUGUUUGUCAUUCAUUUUAAUUUCUAGGCUGAGCUCAAAUUUCUCGAAAAUUCUGUUGUAACAUUAUGGAGGCAGAAGCUAUAACUCUUUUUUGGAUCAUGACAUGUUUGGAUAAUCUUGGCUAUGAAGAGGUAAUUUUUGAGAAUGAUUCAAAGAUAUUGGUGAAAGCGGUAGCUGAACCUCGAGAAUGGCCAAGGUUCAUAGUUUAUACCAGAGAAAUUAACAUGACAAGUAAUAAAAUAAUUUGACCAACUAUCACUUUCCAAGCAAGGAAGACAAGCCAACCAAUGUGUUGAUCUUACAGCCAAUAAAACUUCUUCAUAUGAAGUUUUUUUUUUAAGUUCUUCAUAUGAAGUUCAUUAUGCAUUCUUGAUUAUAGUACUCUUUGGUUGAGAAGGAGAAACGGAUUUAUAUGAAAUAUGUUUGUGCUCGAAAAACAAAAAAAAUGUGGCAUCAUGUUAAAAUGAUGAUAAUUCUCCUAAAUGAACAACAACAAAAAAAAAUGGAUGAUAACUCCUCGAUUACUGGGUUUGAUUCUAUACUGUAUUACUUGUCGGUUAUAUAUUCUCAUUUCCAAUUAACUUUUCCAUUUUAUUAUAACAUAUUAUGACGUCAAAAAGAAAUUAUAACAUGGUGAAAUACAAACGAUAGAACUAUUUAAGUGGCAAUAAUAAGAUGAUGUAAGAAUCUGAUCUGAUACUACAGCAAAUAGAUAUUUGUGCUUGGGUAUGCCUAGAUAUUAUAAGCAAGUUGGUCAUAAAUACAAAUACGUUCUGAAAAUGUACCAAAGAGAUAUCUAGCAACCUCCUCCACCACCACCACCGCCACAACCUCCUCCUCCACCACAACCUCCUCUACCACCACAACCUCCUCUACCACCACAACCGCCUCCACCGCCAGACGCUCCAAAAAUAUAUGGUCUAUGUUUCGUCUCAUUUUUUUCAGAUUUUUUUUCACCGGUGCAAACAAAUACGGCCAUGGCUAUUACGGAGAAGGUGGCUGCAACCACCAAUAUCCCACAAACUAAACCAAAGCCACUGGUUCGAACGUCGCUCAAUAUGCUUCUCACCAUAUUCUCUUGUGUAUAUUUUGGUUAAGUUUGAGACUUUGGAUUCGGUUUUGGUAAGGAUUUAUAUAUGCUUUUGGAUGUGUGAGAAAUAAAAAGCAUUAUUUGUAGGUAAUUCUUUAAUGGACAAUGUUGGCUUACCGCGUACGUUAGGUGUGUCGGUGUGUGGUUACGUAAGAGUAAUACGUAAAAAUCUACAAGUUUCUUUGAUGUCAUGUAAGAAAAUUUUGGUUUAUAUGAGGUGGCUACUUUUCAACGUGCUUAGAUUUGGUUCAAUAUAAGCGAUGCUUAAAAGUCUUAUGAUAAGGUCCCUCUGGCUACUUUUCAACGUGCUUUAACAUUUGGUUCUAUAUGAGGGAUGCUUAAUAGUCUUAUGAUAA
rnacentral:lncRNA from 1 species